rnacentral:lncRNA from 1 species
ACCAAAGUUAGUUAAUUCGGAUUCGGCAAAAAUUCGGUACGGAUAUAAUUCGAAUAAAAUUCGUCUUCUAAUUUUUAAAUUCGUUAAAAAAUACCGCCAAAAAAUGGAUUCACCAAUUAUUCGGAUAUGUGAUUUAUAUGGAUAUUAUACGUUCACCAAUUAAAAAUUCGGGAUAAAAAAUUCGACUAUUAAAUUAAUUUUUUUUUCUCUCAAGAUUUAUGCUAUUAGCAUAAAUACUCAUAUUUCUUAAGAAUAUAAAAAUAAAGAGUACAAAAUUAAGCUAAUUAAGUAAAAAAAUAGCAAACUAUAUUAUGCCUCAAACUAAAUAAAUAAUUAAGUAAAUAAGAGAUUAAGAUGGUCCAUAAGAGAUUAAACUUUUUUGAUCGAGUGAAAUUUUUUUUUUUGGGAGGAAGAGAGGCGAACGUUUCGGAAAGUGCUUUCUUUUUUCUUUUUUUUUUUUCUGUUUUGGGCGAGGUUUGGAUUCUUUGAAAAGGGUUUUUUUUUCUGUUUUGGGCGUGGUUUGAAAAGGUUUUUUCUUUUUUUCUUUUUCUGUUUUGGGCUCGCCGCGAGGCCCGCGAGGCCUGCGAGGCCCUCGAGUGCGAGCGUGAGCGAGCCGUGAGGGCGGAGCGUGAGCGUGAGGACCGCGAGCGCCGUCUUUUUGGCCGAAUAUUCGCGACUCACGAAUUGUUUGCGAAUAAAUAUUUUUGACCAAAAAUAGACAUUUUUUUCCGAAUUUUUGGAAAAAAAAAAACGAAUGCAAUCGUUGAAUUCAUUUCUUCAAAAGUUUGCAAAUAAUUUGCGAAUUAACUAACAUAGGUCCGGACUGAAACUUUCAAGGAUGAUUUUUUUUAGAUUGGAAAAUGCUUACGGACAUUGACAAAAAAAAAAAGAAAAAAAAAGCGCCCCGCACACGCAGACUCUUUAGCGUUACAAGUAAAUCACUAUGUACGCAUAAGGUCGCACAGGUCGGUCCCAACUUAGUAACUCAGGAACACGCCGGAAACCUGAUAUAUUCACCCACAUUUUCUAAAAGCUCGCGUCAUUUGCCCGCACUGUCCUGAGGAUCAUACAUAUCAUGGGCAAGUGGAAAAAGUAGAGCGGAUGAAGUGAUGGAGUGGAGAAUAAGAUCACCGACCUAAUACGCUUGGGAGAGCGUAAUUACGAAUUAGGAGAGAGAAUAUGAGGGCCUGGGCCCCACCGGAGCAUGGCGCGAAGAGCGUGACGUUGCUUCGGACCGCGGACACCCAUUGGACCACACAUCGCCCGGCCCAUGUCGCGGAUCUCCGUGUCCCCGAAUGCGAGAGAGAUCUCCCACCGUCCGUCUCCCCCCAUCGGACGGUCGCCGCGUUCCUGACACCUCCUGGUCCCCGCUUCACAUGGCGGGUCCCCUCCCCCUGCUUGCUACCUCUAGCAGAUUUUGCUUGCACCCGGUGCACUCUGGCAGCGGUGCGCUAUGGUCGAUAGUAAUUUUUAUGAAUCGUCUCAAAAAUACUUUGUAAGAAAAUAACUUAAAAUUGAUUUUUUUUACUAUAUAUAUAUAUAUAUUAUUUGGAUAGUAUUUUAUUGAACAACGUAAAACUAAGUAGAUUUAAAUUUCUAUUGCUUAAAUAUAUUUUUAUUAAAAUUAAGUUGGAGUGGUUUUAGAAAUAUAGAGAUCUUUGUGAUUUUAAGUCAUUAACAGUAAAAGAAUUUUCAAAUUGGCGAUCAGUUUUAUUAAAUUUGAUUUAAAGUUUAAAAAAAAUUCUAAUUUUUUAAUAUUGUUAAUCUAUCUAGUCAUAAAAAGAGUUAAAAAUGAUAACUAAUUUUAAAACUCAAUUUGAGCCAUUUAUGAGCUUAAUGGAAUAUACGUAUCUAAAUUAUGCAGUAUUUAGGUAUGUAUAUACCAUGGAUGGAAGAUACGAGCGUGGAUGAAUGAGCAACCACGGAUGAGUCCGAUGCACGGAAGAGGUGGUGAGCCGGGCGCAGGGUAGAAUUUCUUCGUCCCACUCGAGGAUUGGCUGGACUGGGAACCUCCUUCCACGUAACGGCUACAUGUCACGCUGGGAGACUGACACGCCAGGGUUAAGAGAGCCGCGGCGCGGGAGAAGCCGUUACACCGAACGACGACUAACAUUAUUUAGGAGCGCGGAACUCGCAGAACACCGGGCGGUAAAAAGGACGCUGACCAAUGGCAUCGCGACACGUACUCAAGCCCCGUGCUGUUUAGUCUAAUCAACGGCAUCACGUGGCCACCUCCGUAAUGAUUCAGACCAGCAUUCGACAACCGUAUGCCACGAGUCACACAGCACGUGACCUCCUCUCCCGGCCCCCCUCCCCCGCCCCCACUCCACCCCUCUGACGCUUUACUACUUAACCGCCUUAAUAAAUCCUUUACCUUCCCCACUACGCUCCUCGUCGUCGUCGUCGUCGUCGUCGAAUCGCGGUAAAUUGUAAAGAGAGCUUUUUUUAACUGCUCUUUAAUGGUCUCUUUGCUAUUGCUAUAAAUUUUGGGGUGGAUUUUUUGCCUUGAUUUUGAGGGAUUUGGGGAUCGAAACCACCGGGGUUUUGCAAUCAUUGCGGGAGAUUGCGGGCUUAUUGCUGUUCCCAAUUUUGAUUAUAUAAGCUUUAAUUUCCCAGUCUCAAGUGGGGGAGCCAAGUGGUUUAGCUCUAACUAGAGAGGGAGAGAGAGAGAGAGAGAGAGAGAGAGGGAAAUUUGAUGGAUUUAAGCUUGGUGCCGUACGGGGGGGAGAUGGGGAAGGGGAGAGGGGAGGUGGGGGCGGCGGCGGAGGGCGGCGGCGGCGGCGCGGGAGGAGGGAGGUAUAGGGAGUGUAUGAGGAACCACGCGGCGGCGAUCGGGGGCCAAGCGUACGACGGGUGCGGCGAGUUCAUGCCGGGGGGAGCGGAGGGGAGCCUCGAGGCGCUCAAGUGCGCGGCGUGCGGCUGCCACCGCAACUUCCACCGCCGCAAUGGCGGGGCGGACGCGCGCCGCGCGCAGAUCGCCUACGGCUGGGACCAGCGCAAGCCGAUUCGCGGCCGCGCGCCGCCCUUCCCGCGUUCCUCGCCCCUGGCCCCGCUCCCCGCUCCCUACCACGCCAUCGCGCCCCCGCGCCGCCCGCCGCUCGCCACCCAGCACCAGCACACCACCAGCACCAGCACUCCGCGGCGUACAAACGCCGGGGACCGGCAGCGCGGACGGGUCGAUGAUCCGCCGCCGCGGCGCGAGAGGAGCGGUCGGGGCGGGGACCGCGCGUCGCGCGAAGGCGCUUCCGCACCAAGUUCAACCGCAGGACAGAAGAGAAGAUGCAGCGCGUUCGCGGAGAAGCGUGGGGUGGCGAUCAAGAAGCACGACGUCCGUGGCGCUUCCAGCAGUUCGACCUCGAGGAUUCGCGUCGACACGCCUCCUUCCACAGGGUGCAUCAGUGGAUGCACAACAACAAGAGCCCACCUCGCCUCUCCCUCCCCUCCGCAUCCUCCCCUCUCCACUCCCCUUCUCCUUCCCCUUCACCCCCACCGCGCCGCCGUGCCGCCGCCGCCGCGCCGCGCGCCCAACUCCGCCGCCGCCGCGCCGCCUCUCCUCCGCCAUCCGAGUCUGAAGCUCCAGCUCUCGAUCGAGAAAGAUUGCGAUGUGUUUAACAAUAAUUAUUGAUGGCGCGCCGACAUUCUAAUCUCCGUCGCUUUUCCCCAGGUAUACGAAACGAAACCUGAAACAAAAAAAAAAAAAAAAAAAAAAAAAACAAACGCGUCGAGUGCUGUGAUAUUUGGGGGCAUUCCUUCCGGAUUCUAUAUUAAAUUAUGUUAUUAUAUAUUAUUAUAUGUAGCUUAGAUCCUAGAUUAGAUCUUAGUGUAGAUGAUGAUGAUGAGGUGAGGCUCUGAUGCUUCUUCACCUGAAUAUUUCUAUCUCUGGUAUUAUUCUAAUGAAUGAAUAUUUUACGUCUCUAUCGAAUGAUUAGCGCGUUUCUAUAUUAGUUAACAUCUCUAUGGAAUGAUUAGUUUAAUCUACGGUUAUUUCUUAGAGGGUGUUUGGUUGUACCAAAAAGAAUAAGAAAUUGCUUUCUAUAAUAUAUUUUUUUUAAUAAAAUACAGAAAAGUGCUUUCUAUUUAUAGAUCUCAUUUUUUAAAUAAAAAAAUUUUAAAAAUUAAUUUCGCGAAAUUUAUAAUUCUUAAAUUUUUUUUUUUAAAAAAAAUUGGACGAUAGAUAUCUAUGUGUACGGUGUGGUUGGUGUCAAGGUAUAAAUUCUCCUUUAUGAGGAUUAUUAUUAUUAAGGAGAUGUGGGAACCAACUGGCGUCGCUGUAGGAGACAACAAAAAGAAAAUGAGCUUUUGUGCUGAUCAUCAUGUGCAAAAAAAUUACAGCACCAAAAUGACAUCCGAGCAGCCUCUUAUAGCUAGGGUUUGUUAAUUUGUUGUGUGGAAAAGAAUUCGACACAUGAAUCCAACCAGCUCUUAGCCAGGAUGAGUCUUAAUCAUUGCUUGCUCGGUCUGAUCAGAUUUGCAGUGUCUGAGAACUGUUCGUGAAGUGCGGUAGUGCCAAACGUGCAGGAAAGCCGAACCACUGUCGGUGUCGGUUGUCGGGCGGCACGGUCGACACUCGACUGUGAUUCCUCUGGGACUGAAGCAUAUGACUGUAUUACAGUCCCCCCUGCUCUUACGUACUAGCUCGCUCGCUCGCCUACGAAUCUACGAUGCGAACUUGUGGCGACGACGGCGACGUUGUCCGCCUCCAGUGCAUGCAAAGUGAUCAAACACUCCCCCAGUGGAUGUUAACUUCUAACUCUUUUGGGCCUACCGGGACCCCAGCCGGAUUGCAUGAUGGGGUGAUAGAUCGAGAUGAAUAUAGCUUCCGAUAGUGGAUUCUGAAGGGAUUUAGGCUCUGUAUUAAUCCACGAGUAUGAUAGCGAAGUUUCAUAGCUAGUGCUAUAUGUGGGCCAAGAAGUAUCUUCAGCAGAUGCUUGGGACAAUGAUAUUAAGCUAAUUAAUUAGUGUCUUGUAGGAGGGCUUUAUCUGGGUUUGGGAAUUUGGGUGUUGAUAUUAGAUAGUUGUUUCAUACAGUUGGUUGGUUCCGAACUGCAUAAACUGAAAGUGGGCUUACCGUGCCUGCCGAAGUGCACUUCGGUCCUCACUGUUGCCGGGGAACUGGAGAUCGAAAAGAGUACAUGUACUUCACCUGAGUUUCCACAACUACUACACUCGAAAGGGUUGCUACGCUGUGGUUGGGUUGGAAUUACUACAGAAAAAAUUGUUUGAAUAAAAAAGUUUGAAGAAGCAUCUAUCUUGCUUCAGGGUCCAGCAAAAGCUUACUAGCUCAUUUGGGAGCUUGAAAAGCUUAUUUAUGUUACAUCUCAGGGCGAAGCUUGAUCUAAGUUUUCAUUUGUCAAAGAGCCAACUCAAAACACGGUUCAGAAAUAGAAGCUAUGCCAAACAAGCCUCUAAGCGUUCUUAUAUAGGUUAAGAAUGGCGACGUGAAAUGUUUGGGAAUAUAGCAGCAAAAUAGAAAUAUUUUGUACUUCAUAUAAAACUAAGAUUGAAAUGGAGAUAAUGAGUGGUGAUCAUAUAGCUGGGUGAAGUACACAACUAUGAUGCAAGCCUAGACUCGGUAGUGUCUACAUUAACAAGUACAAUCUAAUUUUUGUUUCAAAAAAUAUGCAAAAUCUAGAAUUUAUCGAUCUCACUGCUACUCGGAACUCGAUCUUGAUUUACAUGAAUUACGGCAAUUUUUUCUUUUCUCUCUUUGUAUCAGCUAAACUUUGGAGCUUACAAGCCAUGCAUGUUGCAACUCCAAACCAAUGCUAAUAUACUGAACAUGCUAUAAUGCAAUUAGGCAUAAUCUAACCUAUGGCCUUGUUUAGCCUAGUGGGUGCGGCAUGGCCCGUCGCAACAAAAGCAGCCCAUUUUGAGGCCACUUUCUACCGCGCAGCUCUACACGUCACUGCAAUUUAUUACUAAAUGUAUUUCUAGAGUUCAAAAAUUCGCGAUGUGCAGUACAGCUGGGCCAAACAGGCUAUAAAUAAUGCGCAAUUCCAAGUUGAAUCACAGCCCAUUAAUGUAAGCCAUAUCGUUUGAAAGUUCCUUUGCCACACUUUAUUCCUAUCCAGGAUAGACAUGAGGAAUAAGUACCCCACACGUCCCUAUCUCUACCCAGGCCAUUUUCAAAGCUUUACAUAAGGAAUCGAUCUCAAAAUGAUAAAAGCUCACAAAACAAAUUGAAAGAGAAAAGAAGAAGGGUCCAGAGAACCUUGAAGUAACUUAAGGAUUGAGAACAUGGGAUUGUGGAACUGGCCUUGGAGCACGGGACCAUCCGGCUUUGGCUCAUCUUCUACCGCCGAAGAGGUUACCGAAGGAAUUGACGCUAGCCAUCUCACGGUUAUCGUCACAGGUUCAUGUAUUUCCUAUAUGUUCCGAAGUAUCGAUAUCCAGUCGCUGCAAUUCAGUUUCGUUUCAGUCAUAUCAGUUUCAAAUUAGUUCGGUGGACAGAGGUCGCAAACAUCAAAAUUCAAAAUUGAAAAGUUGAAUUGUGUAAACAGUUUGGAACAGUUCAUACCGGUGCACAAUCAACUAAGACAACAAACGGAACAAAACUGUCGAAGAUAACAGUACGAACAGUAGUUAAAUAAGUCCCAACUUAGAUCAGUGGUAACUGCUAUGCGUAUUAUCAUUUGAAUUCCAUUGAGUAAUCAAUAGUUAAAAUUAGUGAAUCCCACAGAACCUCAGCAUACACCACAUAUUAGGCACCUAAAGAGAGUUUAAUUCUAUCCCUGCUAGAUUACAAAAACAGUGGUGUUUGGGAGUUAACCUUACUUAUCUCUUGUUUCUUUAUUUUCUACAGCCGAAAAUUCCAUAUCAAUUAUUCAGAAUCUGAUGCCUGGUCGACAACCAAUUACAUUAAACUAUCAAUUUGUUUCGUCCCCUUCUACUUCAAAUAAGUGCUGCUGCUUUCAUGCAUGGCAGGAGCAACAAAUGGCAUUGGGAAAGAGACUGCAAGAGUAUUAGCACUAAGAGGAGCAAAAGUGAUAAUGCCGUCGCGGACUCUGGAGAGUGGCAUGAAGGCGAAAGAGAGCCUCCUCGAGCAAAAUCCGAAUUCGAAACUCGACGUUAUGGAGAUGGAUCUCAGCUCCCUCGAAUCCGUUCGGAAGUUUGCGCAGUCCUUCAAUUCAAGAAACAAGCAUUUGAACAUUCUAAUGUACGAUUAGCCCGGUAUUUCAUCGGUUAGUUUAUCUGGCUGUAAAGAUUCUGAUGGGCACGUUCUUUCGAUUGAUUACAGCAACAAUGCAGGAAUAAUGGCUUGCCCAUUCCAGCUAUCGAAAGAUGGAAUAGAGUUGCAGUUUGCUACAAAUCACCUUGGUAUUAAUCCUCCACGAAACAAGAAAGAAUAGGUCUAGUUCCAUGAACAAAUAGAGAACGCACAGGCGCCGCUUGAACUCUGCACUUUUUCUGAAUUAGAGCACUGUGAUCAACAUUUUGGUCGGAACAGCAUUGGUUUUCUAUUCCCCGUAACUAGCCAAAUAGUGGAACUUACAGACCCUUUUAACUUUGAAAUCUGGCUCUCGAACUUCAUCGAACGAGUUUUUACUUUUGCCUCGUUGACAAAAAAAAAAAAAAAAACAACUACGACCCUGAACAUGUACCCCGGUUACUCGAGUUAUUCAGGAUUUUUGUCCUCGGUUCUUAUUCCAAAAUAUGAUUCUGAUGUGCUUCCAAUUUGUGAACAAUUUCCUCUAUUCCAUGUAGAACUUAUUUGCUUAAAAAAUGUAGGGCAUUACUUGCUGACAAGUCUUCUACUAGACAAACUGAAAACUACAGCUAAAGAAACAGGAAUUCAGGGAAGGAUUAUAAAUGUCUCGUCGACUGCUCAUAGAAGCAGCGACGGAUCUUUCUUCGAUCUGGAGAAGUUAAAUGAUCAGUCCAGGUAGACUCAUAGAUUCUCUAGUAAAUUCUUUAUACUACUUGAAUUAAUCAAAAAUGAAAUACUUUAUCUUUCAGUUCCAUUAUCAUUCUUGUAGGUACAAACCUUUCGGUGCAUAUGCUCAUUCGAAAUUGGCAAACAUACUCCAUGCAAAUGAGCUCUCUAGGCGACUACAGGUCUUCAUCACUUAUUUACAGAAAAAAGUCUCGUAAAGUCGAACAAGCAUAAUCUGAUAAGAAAAUUAUAGUAACUCCAAUUUGAUAUCAAUUAGGAAGAGGGAUCGGACGUGACCGCCAACUCUUUGCACCCAGGAGUUAUAGUGACCAAUAUAGGUCGCUACCUUACUUCAAACGGUAAUGGCGAUUUUCCGCUGUCGAUAUAUAUUUUGAUUAUUUCCUGUUAGCUAAAGCAUGUGUUUGCUCCUUGACUCACGCAGCCGUGGUAUUUACACUACUAGCUACUUUGGUAAAACCUUUUGUGAAAAGUAUACCCCAGGUAAGUUAUAAUUCCUAUAUCAUCUUUUCUGUAUUUCUGUCAAUAUUUCGGCUUGUUUUCAUUCAAAUAAACAUAAAACAACUCUGAGAGCAUAAAAUAUUUCGCAUGACAAAGACAUUCUAAUACUUGCAGGGAGCUGCAACUACUUGUUAUUUAGCGUUGCACCCGAAUCUAAAGGAUGUAAGCGGAAAAUACUUCGCUAACUGCAACGAAACAACACCUUCUGCCAAAGCAAGAGAUGGAGAAUUAGGUAAAAGGCUCUGGGAGUUUAGUGAAGAACUUCUCCAGAGAAGCAGCAAGGCGACAAAAUAAUGUUAAUAUAAAGCACUAUAUAUCACUUACAGUAGCAUGAACAAUUCACUAACCAAUGCAUUGCAUUGUUAUCACCUCUAGCUUAAAGAUCAUUCAAAUUAUCCUUAUAUUUAGAAAAUAAAAAUGCCAGAACUUGAUGCCUUCUCUUUUGAAUCCGGAAAAUCUGAUUGUGGUGCUUUAUACCUUCCCUAAAUUCAGAAUUAGGAUUGGUAAUUGAUUGGUUUCUUUUACCAAUCCCUCUACAUCUCUUUCGUCGCCAGUUCUUUUGGCAUUGCUUUAUUUAAUUUCCAAUCUUUCUACAAGUUCAUUUGUUUUUUUUUUCUCUGUUCUAAUGUCAAAUUGCAAUGAUCAGUUUCUGCUCCAAACUUGUUGAAGUUUUGUUCAUUCACUCUCCCACUAUAUCUGUGGUCAGUUCCUCUUGCCAAUAUUUGUGUUUAUUUUCUCAUGCAAGCUCUGCAACAUAUACAUAUUGGCACAAACUAGUACAAUUAUAACCUUGUAAUCACACACUAUAUGGUGUGUUCAAUUAUUGUAAAUAUUAUAGCAUCGUGGAGUAUUAUGUUAGAAAAAUGAAAAAAAUAUAUUUUCUUCUUUAGUUUUCACGAGGAUGAAUGCUUAAGAGUGAUAGCAUUCACUGAAGGCAAAGGACCAAAUUCCAUCCUCAAAAAAGAUGCUUUCAUUUGUCCUACAAUUACAUAAACAUUAUGCAUUACUAAAGACUAAAGUGAAUAAAUGCACCAAAAUCUCUGAACUAUUGCACUUUUAUAAAUGGUUGCUAAAAUUUUUAAAAGCUACCAUUAGCUAUCUAAACAAUUUGUUUGUUUCAAUCAAUCAUCUAGUCUAACUUUUGUUAAUAUUUGCUAUAUUCUUCGGCACGUCAGAAUCACGUGAUCCAAAAUUGAAAAUUUUGACUAAAUCACUAAUUAUUUUAACAAGAUCCUUCAUCAAAAUUGACUAAACUAACAAUAAAAAGAAACUUCAAAAGCCUCUUUUUUUUUUUUGAGAAAAAGAUAACAUACUACCCGCUUCAUUCAUUCAAGGCGUGAAUUAAACUACAUGGGUGAAGCAUCAGGGCCUCAAAGGUGACAAAAACAAAAAAAUGACGGAUGUUGUUUACAAGGUACAGUUAAAUCUGCUAUACUGUCAACAAGAUCUAUCUAUAGAUCAAAAAUUUUUCCACUGAGCCAUCAGGUGUUUGAUCUUAUGGAUCCCACUGAGGAGGUCCGCCUGGGCCUUCAUAAAAAUCGCUACGUUCCUAGUCUCUCACACCACCCACCAGCAAGCUAUAAUACCACUUAAACCGUUACUCGUGGAUUGUCCCCCCUUCCGACCUUUUCAAAUAUCCCACACUAAGUGUAUGCCAUCUUCCAAGUCUCGUGGCUGGACAUCCUCCAGUGACAUCACCAGUUUCAAAAGCCUAUUUUAAAAUGAACCAUAGUUGAUCCAGAAAGUCUGCAUACAUUUAAUUGAGGCUCCUUUACAAAAUAAAAAGUUGAAGGGCUACUUUGGAAAUUCCGCAUAAUUGAGGAGUGUUACUACACUUUACCAAAAAAGAUAUGACGUGGUGAGCAUGGUCCAGGAUAAUUUUCUCCGGCGGUGAGCCUUGCAUCAGCGUGCUUAUAUAUUUAAGCUCAUAAACCGAACUCCUCCGUAUCCAAAGAGAGGGGAAAAGGGCCGUAAAAAAUGGCGCCUCUUCUACCGAGCUCGCAACCAUGGGUGGAGAAAUAGUGCGCCCGCCUCUUCCCCUCUCUUCUAGGGUUUAGGGUUUGGUGCUCUCUCUCGCUCUCUCUCCUCUGUUCCCUCUCGGUUUGACCCCUCUCUCCCUCUCUCUUCUCGCAGUCGCCCGAAGAAGGUGAAGGAUGUGGCGCAUCAGGACGAGGUCGUGCGCGUCGUCACCAACACCCUCGAAACCGCCGAUGUGAGAACCCUAGAAACCCUACACCAUUCUUCUUCUUCGUCCUAGUUCCCUUGAUCAUUGUUGAUCUUUAUGGAUUGGAACCCUAAUGUAACCUACAGUUGCCUCACUUGCUCUUCUAUGGCCCUCCUGGAACCGGGAAGACCACCACCGCCCUUGCCAUCGCGCACCAGCUUUUUGGGUAAUUCUUGAUCAUCAAAUAACUGCAUCCAGGAGGGGAUUUUUCGAUUCCUCAUGGAUUAGGGUUUUAUUGUUUCAGUAAUCCAGCUGAUUAGGGUUUUUCGUCUCAGGGGUAUUUAAUCUAGUAGUAAGUCGUAUUGUGUUGGACAAGGGCGUUUAGUUUCUCUGAUUGGGUCUACUAAUCCUAUUAACUGUUGAGCGCAUUUAUUCUUUUCAAAGAUGUCUUUAUACAUAACACAAUGCUCACUCUAUCAUUCAUUUGUCUAUCUUAAUAAUGCGCAUAACAUCAGUGUUCUGCGUAAGUUCUUGCAUUAAAUUAAUCCGACAAUAUUUGGGUCAUCUGCUGCUUAUUAAGUUUUGUAGUUCUCUUUGGUAUUAGAUUAGGCAUAACAUAACAUCAAGCUGCAAGUUUGAUACUGUAUCUUGCUUUCUUUGCUAACUAUCUACUUGCCAGCAGACACUCACUUAAUGACUUGCAUCAGAUCGAAAAAUUUGUCGAUUCAGAGGAAGGAUAAGACCAGUGCUGCUAUAAGGCUGUAAAUCCAGCCUCAAUCGUUGGUGACGGGAAGAAGAUAUUAUCUGUUACUGCUUUAACCCGUUCUACUUUUAUCAUAACUAACCUAAAACAUUGGGUGGUUUUUUAUAGAGAUUCAGGCAUUCAAUGCAAACUGAUAUUUUGAACCUGAUAAGACGCGCUAUACAUUUAUGCGGAUUCUUACAGUGAACAUUUAAGAACUGCCGGUCUAAAUUUUUGAGCUGCGCAGCUUAUCAGAAGGAUUUUUCCGUCUUUAUUUCUGAAAAAAAAUUGCAGACCAGAAUUAUACAAGUCGAGAGUUCUAGAACUUAAUGCAAGUGAUGAUCGCGGAAUUAACGUUGUGCGAACAAAAAUAAAGGACUUUGCUGCUGUUGCUGUAGGUUCUAAACCACAUCAAGGGUAUAUAUACUUGUCAAUUUGAAAAUGCUUCUCAUUCUUAAUUUUUUAAUUAUUUGUUUUAUUAUUAUUUUUUUACUCUUCACUUUUGUGGUUUUAGAGGUUAUCCAUGCCCACCUUACAAAAUAAUUAUACUUGAUGAAGCAGAUUCGAUGACGGAAGAUGCUCAGGUAUAUGGCAUGCAACUGUUACUCUUUUACUUUGUUUGAUGUGGGAAUACACAUUUAAUUUGAAUGGCUCCUAAACAUCUACCCAACAGAAUGCCUUGAGACGAACUAUGGAGACUUACUCCAAAGUAACAAGAUUCUUCUUCAUAUGUAACUAUAUCAGCAGGUCUCUUCCCACUUCCUUUUCUAGUUUGAUUAUGUGAUGCACUUGCAAGUAAUUUGGUUGUUUGAUUCACUUCCUGUUGGGAAUACAGGAUCAUAGAGCCGCUUGCCUCCAGAUGCGCGAAAUUUAGAUUUAAACCUCUUUCUGAAGAAGUGAUGAGUGGUCGAAUCUUGCACAUAUGUAAUGAAGAAGGGCUUAAUCUGGAUAGUGAGGUGCUCUCUGUUCUCUUUACUUUAAGUUUGCUGUCAAAUUUGCCUUGUUUAUUAUCGACUUAUACAUGAAUGCUUUCUAUGUGUCAAUUAGGCUCUUUCUACCCUCGGCUCCAUCUCUCAAGGUGAUCUUCGUCGUGCCAUAACUUAUCUGCAGGUCUCAUCUCUUGCAUUAGAACUGUAUGAUUUCUUUCAUUAGUUUGCCUGGCGGACAUCCUGUUUUGUUUUUUUCCCCUAAUAGCUUUUUCAAUUUUUUUUUAUCUUCUCUGUCAAUUGAGAACAAGUUUAUUGUAAUCUUUAGAGACAUGCUUUAACUCAUUUAUCUUGUACUUCUGAAUUAUUGCAGAGUGCAGCUCGAUUGUUUGGGUCAUCUAUUUCUUCCAAUGACCUAAUUAGUGUUUCUGGGGUAUUCAACUGGCACUGAGACUUCAUUAUUUUUUCACUUUUGUGUGUUGAAAUUUGGAAAACUGGUUCAUCGAGUUUGAUCAAAUGACGAGAGGAUAUAUAUAAAAGAAUAGAGGAUCACAAGAUACAUGCAACCGUUACACUUCCAAGUACUUUGUUUCUUUACAGCUACCAAAACAUGCUUUAGUCCUUUUCUUGAUCUUAUUUUUCAUUCCACUGCAUCAGGUUAUCCCUCAAGAUGUUGUUGAGUCACUAUUCACAGCUUGUAAAUCUGGUGAUUUUGAUGUGGCAAACAAAGAAGUAACUAGAAUCAUCGCAGAGGGAUACCCAGUUUCACAGUUGAUCUGCCAGGUUAUUUUCCGUCCGGUUUUUUAUUUAUCAUAUAAGAAUGACCUGUACUAAGCUUUGAAUUGAGGUCUGUUUUCAGUUGUUAGAGGUGAUUGUUAAUGCCGAAGACAUACAAGAUGAGCAAAAGGCAAGAAUUUGUAAAAAACUGGGUGAAGCAGAUAAGGUUUGUUUGCUUCUGAGUUCUUAAUUCCAUGUAUUUGACACACCUUUGUAGUUUUUUCUUUUUUUUUUAUCUCCUUGUAGUAUUUUCUUUUUCUUUUUUUAAGCAUAUUUAUGGACAGAUUUGAUAAUUUUUACUAUAUGGAGCCAUUAAAAAAAUAUCACAUAGGUAAUCACUGUUGCAUAAAGCAGCAGUUUAUGAAUGGAAUAUUAGCGUCACGGUCUUGCGUUUUUUGUAUUAGGUUUUAUUUUCUACUCCCUUUUUUGUAUGUUUACAUUGUGCAGGUCUAUGUAGAACCAUGCUUAUACAAUUCUCUCCUCUGACUUUUCAGUGCUUGGUCGAUGGAGCGGAUGAGUAUUUGCAGCUGAUGGAUGUGGCGAGUCAUACAAUGCGAGCGCUCUGCAACAUGCAACAAGAAUUGUGCUUUAGCUAGUUAAUUUACAGCCAGAAAAUAGAGCAGUCAAAGCUAAAAUAUUCACCCAUGUUUAACCUGAUGCUUAUCACUGUGCCCUAAAUCUCAGCUGCUUUAAGAAGCAAUUUUCUUGCAUAUCUCUCUCUCUGUUUCUCGUACUGCUAAUUUAUUGGCCACAUUAUGAAUUAUUAACAGGUGGGUUAUUAUGUUCCAACUAUCGACAGUUCAUUUGAGCAUGAUUGGAAGGGUUUGAUGAAGAAUUUUCUCUUUUUUUUAUUCUUCAUAGUAAAUUACGGGCGAGCAAGAAUGUGCCCAUCGGUUUCCUACGCGGAAAUCUUAGAAUGGCACGUUUAUAUGGGCUGAGUAUCUUCCUCAUAACUCGUUAGGAUGUUUUUUCACUGUAUGAUAAUUAAUUGCUGACUAAGGAAAGAAAGUUUUAAAUUUUAGAAGAAAGGAAAGAUAUUAUAGUUGGAAAGUAGCUCAAGCUGUGAUUUAUGAUCUUACACCGGUGAAACGAGGAAAUUUGAUUAUCUAAUUUAAACCUUUCCCCAUUUUUCGGAGGGGGAUCAAUCAUAGAGAAGGUUUUAAUUGUUUGAUAUUUUGUCUGAUAUGUUCUCUUUUUCUAAUUGUUAGGAACUUAGGAUCGUUGGAUCUCUUAUUGCCAAAUAAUAGGUUUUUGGCAAGAAGAAUGAGCUUUCAUAUCAAUUUAAACUUUUCUUUUUGGAGAAUUCAAUUUAAACACUUUUUGGUGUCGUUAUUAUUCAUUCUUUAUUACCUACACUGCCUUGUGAGUCGGACAAGUGAUAUCUAAUGAUGAUCAAGGAUUGAUCUGUUGCGUUGAUAUUGUUUCAUAGUAUUUAUCUUGCAGAUGUGGAUGCAAGUUUUUCCCGGAUCGGGUGCACCAGAGUAAGCUUAAAUCACCAACAGUGAAAAUCAAAUUUGUCUUUAGGUUAAUAGCGCAUCCCAUUGUUUUUUUUUUUUUUUUUUAAUUGAAAACUAUUUAUUAAUCUAAGAUGAUUAAAUGAAAAGUAUUAAUUUUGAACUGGAUAUGUCGCACAAACCCUUAAAAAAGCAAACGAUUUAAUUUGGGUAGAUUGUAGGUGCCGUGUUGAAGAUCAGCUGCUUUGCUUAUUUACCAUGGGUGGACUCGCGCGCGGGACGAGCUCGCAUCGCACCCUCUCUCUCUCUCUCUCUCUCUCUCUCUCUCUCUCUCUCUCUCUCUAUAUAUAUAUAUAUAUAUAUAUAUAUAGAGCUAGGCNUCUCUCUCUCUCUCUCUCUCUCUCUCUCUCUCUCUCGUGUCGGGUGUCGCCCCCGCCACCCCCCCUUCUAAGUUCUACCUUUCUCGCUGAGCUCUCCCUCCCCUGAGCUUCUUCCUCCCUCUUCCGAAGACACCAUGCCGAGAAAAACCCCGCUUCCUCGCCCUCCUCCCGACUCCUCCACCAUGUCCCCUGCUUCCCCCGCCCUCCCCUCCUCAGGUACCUUCUCCUCUCCCCACUUGCUCCCCCGCCCCUUCUCCUCCUCUCCUCUCUCUCUCACUCCUAGGGUUUCCUUCGCCGCAGACUCCCGCCUCAAAUGGCGGAAGCGGAAGCGCGAGGCCAACGCUAAGCGCUCCAAGCCCCAGGGCGACUCCGACGACGACGCUGCAGCCGCCGCCGACCCCGUCCUCGACCUCCGCGAGUCCGAAGUCCUCUCCGACUGCGGACACCAGAUUUCCGACUUCCCCCCCGCCGUGCGCCGCGCCGUGAACCGCCCUCACCCCUCCGUCCUCGCCAUCGUCGCCGCCGAGCGCUCCUCCUCCUCCUUCUUCUCCUCGUCCCCUUCCUCUUCCGCCCGAUCUUUGGUUCCGUCCCUUGAGAACAUCUCCCAUGGCCAGCUCCAAGCCCUCUCCGCUAUGCUCCCCGACCACCCUUCCCUUCUCCAACCCCCCGAUGUUGACAAGCCCUCUUCCUACGUGUGCACUCCGCCGCCCCUCAUGGAAGGGAAGGGCGUCCCCAAGCGCUUCCCCACUGGCCAAGUCCUCCUCGUUCCCAUGCACUCCGGUCCGUCUCCUCCCCUCUCCUUUCUCAAGAAUUUUUCCUUUAUGACCUAAAGUUCCCAUCUUUGCCGUCUUACAGAUUGGUUCUCCCCGACAACUGUCUACCGGCUGGAGCGGCAGGUGGUGCCGCACUUCUUCUCAGGGAAGUCCAGUGGCCACACCCCGGAGAAGUACAUCAUGCUCCGUAACAAGAUCAUACUGAAGUACCUGGACAAUCCUAGCAGGAGGCUAGGGUUUGCAGAUUGCCAGGGGCUGGUGUCGAGCAACAGCGAGCUCUAUGACCUCAGCCGCAUUGUACGGUUCCUUGACAAUUGGGGGAUCAUUAAUUAUCUUACGACUCUUUCUGUGCAUCGCGGGCUCAGGAUGGCAGCUUCUCUGCUUAGGGAGGAUGGUAGUGGGGAGCUUCAGCUUCUGACGGCCCCAUUGAAGUCUAUUGAUAGUUUGAUGUUGUUUGAUAGGCCAAAGUGCAGCUUGAGAGCAGAGGAUGUUGCUUUGCUAUCUUCUUCUUCGUCUUCUUCUUCUAGUGGGCCUGUGGACUUGGAUGCUGGACUUUGUGAUUUGGAUAGUCGGAUAAGAGAGCGACUAUCGGAACUUUCUUGCAGUUACUGCUCAGAGCCUCUGCCCAACUUACAUUAUCAGUCGCAGAGGGAGGUGGGCAACCUUUGCACUUUUAUGCUUCACCUUCAAAUAAAUAUUUAUACUAGUUAAUGCUGACAUAGUAACAUGGAAAGUUAUUAUCUUUGAUUUCCUUAGUGGCAUUAUGCUCUUGUCAGAUAUGUUUGAGUGUCUAUAAUUGUUAUAUUUAGAUGAUGUAGCUGAUUCCAUGUUGAGUAUCGCCCAGCCACCCACCAUUGUUUAUUCUCUCCUCCCAUUGUUUUCCAUAUAAUUACUUCGUAAGGCAAUUCCUUUACCCUGUUUCACCUCUUCUUUGAUGCUUCCAGUUCUUCCUUUUGAACCCUCUGCACUUAGCAUUCUUUUAAACCUUAGGAAGUAAUGGAUUCUCUUACACAAUUUGAUAUAAUCAUAGAGUGGUUGUGCAUUUUCUUUAUUCUUUGAUUGUCCACAAUUAGCACAUCAUAAUAUGCUUCUUUUCGACUGUACGAACAGGCGGAUAUCGUCCUUUGCUCCGAUUGCUUCCAUGAUGCGAAAUAUAUUACUGGGCACUCAAGUUUAGAUUUUGUGAGAGUGGAUACAAAGAGAGACACAUCAGAUUCUGACGGGGAUAACUGGACUGAUCAGGAAACAUUGCUGCUACUAGAGGCCUUAGAAAAGUAUAAUGAUAACUGGAAUGAAAUUGCUGAACACGUCGGCACCAAGUCAAAGGCACAAUGUAUACUUCAUUUUAUUCGUCUUCCAAUGGAGGAUGGUUUGUUGGAGAACAUUGGAUUUCGACAGUUGCCUGUCCCUUCGAAAGGACAACAUAGAGAAAAUCUGUCCACAAUUUCUAAUAGUGAUACCUCAGGUUAUUAGGCUUUCUUCAUCUUAGCAAGCUGAUCGACUUUGCUUUUCAUCUGUGCUAGUUCUUUAUCACUUAUUCUCUCUUAUCAAUUUUCAGGUGUUCAUUCAGGGAACCAACUUCCUUUUGCUGAUUCUGCUAAUCCAGUAAUGUCCCUGGUGAGUAAUUAUGAUAGCGCGUUAUCAUUUUGUUUUUUUCCAUUUAGAAAAUGAGUUAAGGAUAUAAUUAUAUGCAAAUAUCAACACAGAUAAGUGAUGCAUUCUUGAAUCAACUAUACUUAGGCUUAUGACAAUACUUGGUGCAUCUUUGUCGAAACUAAACUAAGCUGAAAAAAAUGAUAUGUCAGCCUCUCAUUCUUCAUUGUUUGGGAUAUGAAAAAAAAAGAAGAAAAAAAGUGCUUUACGGACUGCAGUUAGCAAUAAUCUUUUUGUGGACGUUAGGAAAUCAAUCCAGGUUAAUGACUAGCGGACCUCAAAAGUAAAUGACAUAAGGCCAAGUAAACAUCCCGGAUAAUGACUGAUUACUCAGGUUAAGGUACAGAAACUACCUGAAAAGGUUAACAAGAUGUUUGCUUUUCUAAGUAUUAAGUAGUCUAAAUGCUGCCAAUGAGAAACUUUACGGUUCUACCUGCCACAUGCCGACUUAACUGCGCCAGUUACUUCGACUGAUGUUGGAAUAUCUGUAGUGAAAUUUGGGCAGUUGAAGACACUUAUUUAUUACAGAGUCUACGCAGCUUAACCUUCUGGUCUACUCUAUAAUUCUAUUACAUAACAUAAUAGGGUUGUCAAAACUGAAAGAACAAUGUAGCUUUAAUUAAAUAUAUGUGUCUUUCUUAGAGGUGAAACCAACAUCAUGUCUUGCCAUAUUCUUAUGAUUUCUCAGAGAUAAUGCAGCAUACAUCUGACAUUGGUGACACACUAACAGUGUGUGUGAAGUAGUGAACUAUGUCAUGCUAUUGGAAGCUUUUGUUCAGUAGAUCACGUACAUCUGCCCUAUGAAUCUGAAGUUGCAUUUCAGUCAUAUAGGUGGUUUUUAAAAGUUUGCUGCUUAAUGUUUUCAGCUGAGUCUUUUUAAUUGGAUCUUCGGGUGGAAGGUCAAUAAUCAAUAGCUUGUGCGAUUUGAAUACUUUUCCCGUUUUACAUUAAAGAGGAGUUUCGCAGGUUGCCUUUUUGACCUCUGCAAUUGGACCAAGAGUUGCUGCAGCUUGUGCAAAUGCUGCAUUAUCUGUGCUGACUAAAGGUGAUUCCAGGUUAGAUAAAUUCUUCUACUGAUGGCAGAGUAUUGCAAUAUAUUCCUAUGGUUGAUUUCUUCCUCUGAAUUCAUGUUAAAGUUACUUGUGUUUAUAAAUACUGCAUAUCAAGAUUCUGCAGUAUCACUCUAUCUCUUACACUUCCACACCCUUUUUUUGUUCAUUUUGAUUUUUUUUUUGUAGUAAAUUCUUCAUAAACUUGACAGUUGUAGUUUUAUGCGGAGAGUGUUCUUUGUAAACCAUUCCUGUACUUGAGUUUUCAAUGAAGGGAAUAAUCGUUUUCUUCAUCAUUGUAAAUUAAGGUCGAGCUCUGAGAGCAAUCAUGCGGAAGCUGUUACUCAUGGGGCUAACGCAAAUUCAUGCAAUCAGAAUGGUAAUUGCUGUUUCUAAUUUCUUCAUUGGUUUUCCACACCACAAGAUUUCUUUUUAUUUUUCAAGUGUUCUUUUAUCUGAUCUCAGAUGGAAAUCCAGAAGAUCAAAUACCUUAUUCUAGAGGAGAUGCCAAUUCUCCUCUUUCUCUGGAACGUGUAAAAUACGCAGCAAUGUGUGGUCUAUCUGCAGCUGCUAUGAAGGCGAAACUGUUUGCAGACCAAGAAGAGCGUGAAAUUCAGAGACUGGCCGCGACUAUUAUAAAUCAUCAGGUUUUGUAUCCUACCUACUGACUUUCAGAGGAAAGAUCAUUUCUCAUAUACUGAAUUUGUUUGGCAUAUUAUUAGUAUCUAUCAGUUUGGAUAAUUAUUUAUCACAAAUUCUACAGAAAUCUUAAUUCUAAUAUUUAUCGCCUUUAUAUGGUAGAUACAAAUGACCAAAUGACUUGAAUAAUGCACAAUAGAUAAUGAACAAAUGGAGGAAAUUCUUGGAAUAAAAUACCUACCUCUCUUGGCAAUCCAGCUUUCUCUUUCGGCAGUAAACUUUUCACCUUCUACCAAUAUAUUUGAAAUUUGCUUCUCUAUAGAAAUAUUUGCUUAUUAUACCCAUAAUAUUCGUGCUUAGAAUCUUUAUUCAAUUGAUUUGACAUUUUAGGCCUAUAAUCAGUAUUAUCUUCCUUUUUUUUCCCCCUUUUUCCACAAAAGUAUGAACUCUAGUUAGGAGGUAAUCUAUUACUAAGCAUCAUCGACAAGUUGGUUUCUAUGGGAACUUUUUUAAUUAUGACUGUGCUAUCUACUUCAAGCACAUGGAGUAAAAGAGGUUCUAAGCUAUAAAUGAUUAUUAAUUCCAAUUUCACAUCAUCUAUGAUGGUGUCUAAUCACUGUCUCUAAACCAUAUGCAGUUAAAGAGGUUGGAGUUAAAGCUGAAGCAGUUUGCUGAGGUGGAAACCCUGCUGCUGAAGGAAUGCGAUCAGGUAGAGAGAGUGAGGCAAAGGCUUUCUGCUGAACGGGUGCGAAUGAUGUCAGCCCGCUCUGGAUUUCCAGGAAGCGCUUUUCCACCACAACAACCAGCAGCAGCUGCGGCAGCAGCAGGUGCUGCAAAUUCAAAUCCUAAUCCUCAUCCUCGACAGCCACCUAUACCCGGUUCAGUCGGACCGACUAACAUUCCAAAUCCUUAUGGCAAUAAUCUAGCUGGACAUUCUCCAAUCCAAUUCAUGCAGCGACAACAAAUGCUUUCUUUCGGACCCCGCUUACCUCUCUCGGCAAUCCAGCCAUCGCCCUCGGCCUCUUCACCCAAUGUUAUGUUUAAUUCCGGCAUGCCUGCUAAUUCCAUGAACCCUAAUCACCAUCCACUAUUGAGAUCUGCAUCUGGGAACAAUUCAAAUGUUAGUUAGCAUGAAAGAACUGUUGAAUUGUAUUAAAUUUUUUUAGUGGCCCAUUUGUAAUGUAAUUGCACCAUAGUUGGUGAUUUUAGAAAUAUAAUUAGUUGGAAGUUUGUAACCAUGUUCUUUUGGUUAUCUAGGUAGAAAAAUUAGAUGAGCAACUUGAUGGUGCACUUUUAUGGCUGGGCAGUUGAGAAAGUUUUACAAUAAUGUCACAGGUGAUUGAUAAAGUGAUAGAUCCCUAAAUAAAACAGCUCAUUGUAGCUCAUUUCAAGAUCAAGCAGGGAUUGAUACUUAAAUUAUUAAUAGGAAGAAAAGAAAAAAGAAAGAGCCCAACUUACCGGGGUGGCUUGCUGUGGCUUAUUUCUGGCCACAUGAUGAGCCAACUAAAUCAUGUGGGGUUCAACUACUUGAACAGUUGAACAAUAAUAAUUGUUGCUUAUUUCAUAGGCAAUAUAUAUAUAUAUAUAUAUAUAUAUAUAUAUUUUAAUCCUGGAUCUAACCUGAGAUGGUGAUUUAGUUGUUCUUUGAUUGAACUUGCUCAGGGAAAAAUUUGUGUGUGGACCAUCGCAUUAGAAUGCAUGACAAACUAGUGCCUUAAGAACAUUAAUGAGGUUAACGUGGCAGAAACCAAGUUGGUCGUACUACCUAAAACGGAGAGUAAUAGAAUUCAAAUCCAAGGUGUGUAAAACAACUCCAUACAUAUUUUUCUACUGUUAAAAUCGAUGUUUAAUCCACAGUUUGGAUUUUGCUGAACCACAAAAAAAAAAAAAGAAUUACUUACAGUAGAAUAAAUGACCACUAUAGCAUAAAAAUGACCUUAUGCCAUAAUCUCAUGAAAAACAGUUUAUAAAUUUGAAUUUCUAGCAUGCUUAAUAGUCUUCAAUUUAAACUUCUGUAUGUCCUAGAUUGGAAGUGCAUUGCUAAAAGUGGUUCAUUUUGAUUCUUUAGAAAGUUCAAAAAAUUUCGAAAUAGCUUUGAACUUCUCACUUGAGAUAUAAUAAAAUCACGACGAUGCGAACCGUUACAAAAAUACAUUUCUUGUAACAAUUUUUACCACUUACAUAUAAAAUUGAGAAAGAAAAGUUUAAAGUGCUUUGAUAUUUAAUGGAUGUUCUAAAAAAUAUAAAGUUGGUACAAUUGCAGAAGAUGAGUACUAUAUGAUUUAUAUUUAAGCUUAGUGUUUCGAAAAAUGACGAAAUCGAGUGUGUUGGAUUGCGGACCCUUCGUCGUGAUUUGUGAUCUUACAGUCAAAAGAUUAGGGCAACGGAGCUCCACAGCAAAGGUGUAAAAAUAAAGAGGAAAAUGAUGCGACAACGCAAACGCUUUCUAAAAUAAUCAGCCAAAAUCAAUUCUCCUUCUCUGAACAUAUAGCAUCAAAAUAUCCAUCAAAACCACUUCAAUCUCUGUGGGUGUAGGUUGUUAAGGAGACAAAAUCAGGGUGGCACAUGAUUAUGAUUUACUAAUUCACUAGGUUUCACGUAAUUUAAUUAGAUAAAAAAAUAUUAAGAGGAAGGUUUUUGAAUUUACAGUGUGUUCUUAGGGGCCACCACGUUUUUCAAUCAUGCAGUACACUAAAAAAAAAAAAAAAAAGUUUAUGUUGCAGCAGUUAUAGUUAAUAUUUUUUACUGUCUCGCCAAAUAUACCAGAAAAUUUAGGAGAAAUUGAAUACAUCAUAUUUUCUAUUAAAUUUUUUGCAAUUCAUGGGGUCAAAUUGAAUAAUGCUAUACUCGUGGACUAACCAUUGUUCGAGUCAACCAAUCAUUCACUCUCCCCCAAUUAAACACCCUAGAAACUAUAAUUUACUUGGACUAUUUUUUUUAUGAAGAUUUUUUAUCGAUGUUAUUGGAAAACAAUACAAGAGGAUCAGAUCCAAGAAACGUGAAGUUCCUUUUUUUCUUUUUUCUUUUUUUUUGAGAAAACGUGAAGUUCCCAUGUGAUGGAAUAGUAGGUUCUGGUUAUUGUUUUUCGUACGUGUGCGCAUAAUGCCGCGAAAUUUAAAGCUACUCUACUCACGUGUCAUAUUAUCCAAUACAAAAAACUGAAGAGCAAUAUUUUGCAAUACUUUACUUUAUGUGAUUACAACAUUAAGAUCUCAUGACGAACUUAGCGUAGUUGGCUAAAAAUUUAAUAAUUAGGAUUUGAAGUUCUAAAUAUAAAAUUCUAGCUGAGUUUAUUUUUAGAAAAUAAAUAAAACGGGUAAAAAUAUUAACUUAGGUGAUUUGAGUGAUUUUAAUGUGUUUAUGGACCUCUUUUUCAUUAUUAUAAGGUGCCAAUUUAGGUUCCCUUCUCUUGCGUCCUAAGCAUUUAACCCAUGCAAUACCAAUUUUGUAUUUUAUACUAGCUAUAUCAUCAAAAAAAGAAAAACUAUUAUAACUAAAAAAGUGUUUCCAGUUAAAAUUUUACUGAUUUAACCAUUAUUUAAUAAUUGUUUCUUUUUACUGAAUCAGAGCGAAAAUUGAUUUGCAGUCUAACAAGUCCAACCACAACAGUUCAACCAUUUUUUUAACAUUAUUUUUAUAUAAAAACUUUGAAAGAAUUUGCUCUUUAUUAAACAUAAAACUGAAAUGAAAAAUUUUAAAAGGGCUAAGUCGCAGUGUGGAAUGGUACCGGGAUUAUUCACGCAUUGUUGUUAUAUAUCAUUCCUUUUUUAUAAAAUAAAUAUAAAAAAUACUUAACAAAAAGCGGGCUAUGUGUGAAAAAAAAAAAAUUUAGGGGGCCAAAUACAAAAAAAAACCCUACGUAAAAGGAAAAAAGUCCCGAGUCGCAAUAUGCGAGUAGUAUCGGAUUAUCCUCGCAUUUUUCCCUAACUCUUUUCCUCAGCCCUGCUCUUCACUGUUCGAUACCCUCUCUCUCUCUAGAGAGCAUAAGGAAGAGAGAGAGAGAGAGAGAGAGGAAACUGUAAUAAAAGUGUCGAGGAGAGAGAAGGUGAAAGGACGUCCGAAGCCCAUGCGCGCUCUCUCUCUCUCUCUCUCUCUCUACCCUCUUCGUCAUCGUGCCGCAUUGAUGCGGAUUUUUUAGGUAAAUCCACACAGAUCUCACUCAAUUUCAAUGCCUAUAUAAUGAUCUUUUUCGUUUCCCCAAUUUUUUGUGAUCUUUAUUUAGUGUGAAUGCUGACCGAUUCUUUGUGCCAAUGUUGAUCUUUUGCCUUUUGAUUUCUAUCUAAUUUUACUGUUAUUUUUGCUGUUUGUCGGUGAUCUUUGAGAUCGCGUUUUGAGUGGAUUCACAUUUUGUAUGUAGGUGGAGAUCUGAUGUGAUUCGCACUCUGAUCUUGGUUUUCUGAUCUGAUAGUUAGUGAUCCGAUCUAUCUCACAAUAGGGUUUAUAGGUCUGAUCCGUGAGCUUCGUUGGAUAAUUUGCGAGGAGGAGGAAGAGGAAUUAACGUUCUGCUCUCAAAGUUUAGCUAUUUCCAUUAUCUUUGGAGGGUAAGGUUUAUGCAGAUUUAUCCUGUUUCAAUCUAUCCUAUAAUUUGGUAAACUAAAAAGUGCUUACUUUUUUCUUGCUCUUGCUCCUUUUCACCAGUCACUUAAUUUUAGGGAUUUAGAUCUGUUAUUUCAUGUCCAAAACUUUCAACAUCGUAGAUAUUUUUGUUGGCAGCUGAAGUAAUAUUUCAUAUUGUUCAGAUAGAUCGUGCUUAUAUGCAGAUACAAACCUGUGGAGGUGAUAAUUAGUAAGCAAUGGCGGAUUUUUCCUCAUCGGAACCACAAGAACCGGCGUCACCUUCUUCUCCAUCAUCUUCUCAUUCACGGUAUCUCACACAUUUAUACAUAUUUACUUCCCAUAUAUAUUACUUAAUAUAUUACUUAAUAUCUAGCGUGUACAAUCACUUCCCAUCUUUGUUUUAACUCUUUGGCAACUGGAUGUAUUUGAUUGUUGGGUAUUAAUGACUCGUAAUUCUCACCUCGGUUUUACAUUUAAUUAGAGAAACAAAUGGAUCGGCGGAAACGGAUGACUCAGAAAGCGCAAUGGCCACCGUCGCUCACUUGUUGGAACAGCUUCAUGCUAGCAUGUCUUCUCCACUCGAGAAAGAGCUUAUAACCACAAGGCUGCUCGCACUAGCAAGAGCAAAAAAGGAAACUAAGGUUUUAAUCGGCAGCCAUUCUCAGGCCAUGCCACUGUUCAUCUCUGUUCUUAGAAGUGGAACUGUAACCGCAAAAGUCAACGUUGCUUUGACCCUCAGUACACUCUGCAAGGAAGAAGACCUACGCGUGAAGGUUCUUCUUGGCGGUUGCAUACCGCCAUUAUUAUCUCUUUUAAAGUCAGAAUCCCUCAAUGCCAAAAAAGCCGCUGCAGAAGCUAUAUUUGAAGUUUCCUCUUCUGGGUUUUCGGACGAUCACAUUGGCAUGAAAAUAUUUGUUACCGAGGGUGUUGUGCCUACUUUAUGGGACCUCCUUAACCCAAAAAAUAGACAGGAUAGAGUAGUUGAGGGUUUUGUCACUGGAGCGCUGAGAAAUCUUUGUGGGGAGAAGGAUGGGUAUUGGAGGGCCACAAUCGAAGCUGGGGGUGUCGAGAUCAUUACUGGUCUUCUUUCUUCAAACAAUACUGCUGCCCAAUCAAAUGCUGCUUCCCUUUUGGCCCGGUUGAUUUCGGCUUUUGGCGAUAGCAUUCCUAAAUUAAUAGAUACAGGAGCCGUAAAAGCCCUUCUUGGCCUUUUGGGUCGAGAUAAUGAUAUUUCUGUGCGCGCGAGUGCUGCUGAUGCUUUGGAAGCCCUUUCAUCGAAGUCCACCAUGGCUAAGAAAACUGUAGUUGAUGCAGGUGGCUUACCUGUUCUGAUCGGAGCUGUUGUGGCUCCUUCAAAGGAGUGUAUGCAAGGGGAGUCUUGCCAUGGUUUACAGAGCCAUGCAGUUCGUGCUCUAGCUAAUAUGUGUGGCGGUAUGACUUCUUUGAUACUUUACCUUGGAGAACUCUCCCAGUCCUCGCGCUUAAAUGCUCCUGUUGCUGAUAUACUUGGUGCCCUUGCUUAUUCACUAAUGGUUUUUGAUGGCGAUGAAGAGAAAGUGUUCGACCCAGUUAAUAUAGAGAAUAUCUUGAUAACACUACUAAAACCGCGGGAUAUUAAGUUGGUUCAGGAUCGUGUUCUUGAGGCUUUGGCCAGCCUCUAUGGCAAUCCUUGUCUAUUCAGCAGGCUUCAUCAUUCUGCUGCAAAAAAGGUUCUAAUUGGGCUUAUUACGAUGGCUUCGGCUGAUGUUCAGGAGCACUUAAUACUAUCCCUCACAAGCUUAUGUUGUGACAACGUUGAUAUAUGGGAUGCUUUAGGGAAGAGAGAGGGAAUUCAUCUGCUUAUUUCUUUGCUCGGGCUUUCGAGUGAGCAGCAUCAGGAGUAUGCUGUUUCUUUGUUGGCAAUUUUAACUGAUCAAGUAGAUGAAAGCAAGUGGGCCGUAACAGCUGCUGGAGGAAUCCCUCCGCUGGUUCAAUUAUUGGAAACCGGGUCGCAGAAAGCAAGGGAAGACGGGGCCCACGUGCUGUGGAACUUGUGCCAUCACAGCGACGACAUUCGUGCGUGUGUUGAGAGUGCUGGGGCCGUCCCCGCCCUUCUAUGGCUUCUAAAGAGCGGCAGUCCCAAAGGUCAAGAGGCUUCUGCAAAAGCACUUAAGAAGCUGAUCCAUUUUGCCGACUCUGCUACCAUCAAUCAGUUACUGGCCUUGCUCCUAAGCGACUCUCUCAGUUCAAAGUCCCAUGUUAUCAAUGUCUUGGGUCAUGUGCUUAUGAUGGCUUCUCAUAAAGACUUGGUGCAGAAGGGAGCUCCUGCCAAUAAAGGUCUUAGGUCUCUUGCCCAAGCCCUUAACUCAUCUAAUGAGGAGACACAAGAGUGUGCUGCAUCAGUUUUAGCUGAUCUAUUUAGUACACGAGAAGAUAUAUGUGAUAGUCUUGCCACUGAUGAGAUUGUCCAUCCAUGCAUGAAGCUCCUGACAAGCAAAACCCAAGUUGUGGCGACACAAUCUGCACGAGCUUUGGGUGCUCUAUCCCGUCCAGCAAAUGCUAAAUCCAAGAAUAAGGUAUCCUACAUUGGUGAGGGGGAUGUUCAACCCCUAAUUAAGAUGGCGAAGACAUCGUCAAUCGAUGCUGCUGAAACUGCGAUUGCUGCGUUGGCGAACCUCCUCUCAGAUCCACAGAUUGCUGGAGAAGCUCUAACCGAAGAAAUUGUCUUGUCCCUAACAAGAGUGCUUAAGGAAGGCACUUUAGAGGGCAAAAUAAGUUCUUCUCGGGCACUUCAUCAACUACUGAACCAUUUCCCACUCUGUGAAGUGCUUCCAGAGUACUCACAGUGUCGCUUCGUAGUUCGUGCUCUUUUGGAUUCUUUAGCUGAAAUGGAUGUUGAAGGUGUUGUAUACUUGGGCCCACUGGAUGUACUUGCCUUAUUGGCUAGCACAAAAGAGAGCGUGAAUUUUGGCUUCCCUCCCUGGAGUGCCCUUGCUGAAGACCCAGAAAGUUUACAGCCUUUGUUUCGGUGUCUGGAUGUUGGGCUUCCUAUUGUGCAAGAAAAGUCGAUCGAAAUUCUCUCAAGGCUAUGCCAGGAAAAACCUUCUCUACUUGGUGAUUUUUUGGUAAGAAGAGAAGGGUGUAUUGUUUCACUUGCUACUAGAGUUAUAGAGUCCUCUAGUAUAGCUGUGAGAAUUGGUGGGGCCGCACUUCUCAUUUGUGCUGUGAAGGAGAAUAGAGUACGUCCAAUCGAUAUUCUUGAUGCAUCAGGGCUUUUGAGGAAGCUGAUCUAUUGUCUGAUUGAUAUGUUGAAACUUCAUUCUACUUCCAGUUCUCCAGAAUCUGAAGUCAGGAAUCCUAGAAAUUAUAUGGAAAGAAAUGCAUUUGAUGAUUCUGACAUUCAUGAUCCAGCAAGAAUUUUGGAAGGAACAAUUGCUCUUUGGUUGCUUGCGAUUGUUUCUUCUUCUCAGGUGGAGAGCAAACUUAUUAUUAUGGAGGCUGGUGGAGUUGAGAUUCUCUCUGAUAGACUUGCAAGAUACACAGCUAAUUCACAGGUAUGAGUUUAUCGCUUUGUGCUUUCUCUUUUUUCUCUUGUUUCAUUUACAUUUUUGGUUGCAGUAAAUGGUCAUUUAUUUUAGGAUGAUUUUGCAAUACCUGCACAAUCAGUCGUAAUUUUUUCCCCACUUAAAUUUGGACAAUUUUGAGAUUUUUGAUAAAUUCUUAUCUAAUUCAGGUUCACUGAUGUAGCUUCCAUAGAUAUAUACAUCAAAUUUAUUCACUGUUACAGCUUCUGUAGAUUAAAUCAGCAUUUCUCAUAUUAAUUAUUGUCUUUACCUCACAAUCUUUUUAGUUUGUAUCUAAUGUGUAAAUGAUUUCUUUAAUAUAGGCGGAAUUUGAAGGGACAGAGGGGAUAUGGCCUAGUGCACUUCUCCUGGCUAUUUUGUUCCAGGAUUCAACAGUUGUUCAAUCUUCAUUGAUAACCCGGACAAUACCAUCUCUAGUUUUCUUGCUGAAGUCGGAUGACAUCAUUGAUAGAUACUUUGCUGCUCAGGUGAUGGCUAGCCUUGUUUGUGUAGGAAAUAAAGGAAUACAGCUUGCUAUUGCAAAUUCCGGUGCUGUUGGGGGCAUAAUAUCAUUAAUCGGGCAGAUAGAAUCUGAUAUGCCUAACCUUGCUGCUUUAUCUGAAGAACUAAAAUUAGCACAAAAUCCAGGCCAAGUAAUUAUGGAAAAUCUCUUCAAGCUUGAGGAAGUGAGAACAGGUGCUACCGCGCGCAAGUCCUUACCUUUACUUGUGGACCUUCUUAGACCGAUGCCUGAUAGACCAGGUGCCCCGUUAAUCGCGCUACACCUUCUGACACACCUAGCAGAAGGUAGUGAAACAAAUAAAGUAGUAAUGGCAGAAGCUGGCGCUGUGGAUGCUUUAACAAAAUACCUCUCUUUGAGCCCUCAAGACUCAACCGAAACUACUAUAACUGAUCUGUUAUGGAUCCUGUACAGCAAUUCUGAACUCCUUCACAGUGAAGCUUCUCUCAGCACUUUGAAUCAGCUAAUUGCUGUUUUAAGAAUGGGCUCAAGAAAUGCUAGGCUUAGUGCGGCGAGGACUUUGAAGGAGCUUUUCAAUUCGGAGAAUAUACGAGAAACUGAAAUGGCUAGACAAGCUAUUCAACCAUUAGUCGACAUGCUGAAUUCAGGAAAUGAAAAGGAACAAGAGGCUGCACUCAGUGCAUUGAUCAAACUCACAGAUGGAAAUAUUUCGAAGGCCUCAGCAUUGACCGAUGUUGAAGGUAACCCAAUUGAAACUCUCCACAAGAUUUUGUCAUUCAGUUCGUCUUUGGCCCUGAAAAGAGAUGCUGCCCAACUUUGCUAUGUUCUAUUUGGAAAUUCGAGUGUGAGGACAGCACCAAUUGCCACAGAAUGUAUACAACCCUUAAUAUCACUAAUGACAUCGGAUUCGAGCUUGGUUGUAGAGCCUUCUGUUUGUGCUCUAGAGAGGCUGCUUGAUGAUGAACACCAUGCAGAUAUAGCGGCUACUUAUGAAGUUAUAACUCUUCUUGUUAGCUUUGUUUCGAAGAUGAAUCAUAACUUAUCAGAGCCCAGUAUAAGUGCCCUAAUAAAGCUAGGGAAGGAUCGUCCGCACUGCAAACUUGACAUGGUGAAGGCUGGAGUUAUCGAUAAUGCCCUGAAUAUGAUCCUUGAUGCUCCUGUGUCUCUUAGCUCUUCAAUCAUAGAGCUUCUUCGAAUUCUAACUAAUAAUAGCAGCAUUGCAAAAAGUUCGGCUGCUGCAGGAAUGGUAGAGCCUCUGUUCUUGGUUCUCCAGAGACCAGACAUUCCCAUGUGGGGGCAGCACAGCGCAUUAGAAGCACUUGUAAAUAUUCUGGAAAAGCCCCAAAGUUUGGCGAAUUUGAAAUUAAGUCCUAGCCAAGUCAUCAAGCCUUUGAUUUCAUUUCUUGAAUCCCCAUCUCAAGCAAUUCAGCAGCUUGGCACCGAAGUACUAUUGCAUCUUCUUGAACAAGAGCAUUUCCAACAGGAUAUUACAACCAAACAUGCCGUAGUUCCUCUCGUGCAGCUCGCGGGGAUCGGUAUCUUGAGCCUACAGCAAAUGGCGAUCAAAGCGCUUGAGAGCAUUUCGAUGAGCUGGCCAAAGGCUGUAGCUGAGGCAGGGGGCAUUUUUGAACUCUCAAAGGUGAUUGUCCAGGAUGAUCCCCAGCCCAGCCAUGCAUUAUGGGAGUCUGCAGCACUUGUUCUAUCCAACGUUAUGCGGUCUUAUUCCGAAAAUUAUUUUGAAGUUUCGAUGGUGGUGCUCGUGAAAUUGCUGAAUUCCACGGCAGAGAGCACUGUUAACAUAGCUCUCGGUGCCCUCCUUGUUCAAGAGAGGAAUAGUAAGAGCAGUGCUAUAUCAAUGGCCGAGGCAGGUGCGAUCGAUGCACUGUUAGAGCUUUUAAGAUCUCGUCAGUGUGAGGAAGCUUCUGCAAGAUUGCUCGAAGCACUUUUUAACAAUGGGAGGGUGCGAGAAAUGAAGGUUGCAAAAUACGCGAUCGCCCCCCUUUCACAAUACUUAUUAGAUCCACAGUCCAGGUCGCCACCAGCUAAGUUUCUGGUGACUCUCGCGCUAGGCAACCUUUUCCAGCAUGAUUCACUUGCUAGGUCAAGUGAUGCUGUCUCUGCAUGCCGUGCUUUGAUAAGCCUGCUUGAGGAUCAACCCACAGAAGAGAUGACUGUGGUGGCAAUCUGUGCUUUACAGAGUUUGGUUAUGCACAGUAGAACAAAUAGGCGGGCGGUAGCAGAAGCUGGUGGAAUUCUGGUCGUACAGGAAUUGCUUUUGUCUUCCAAUGUGGAAGUUUCUGGGCAGGCUGCAUUGUUGAUCAAGUAUCUAUUUUCAAAUCAUACACUUCAAGAGUAUGUAUCAAACGAGCUCAUCAGGUCUCUCACCGGUAAGUCCAUAUUUAUGUCUACCCAGGCAGAGCCAACUUACUGCCUCUCUUAUUUGUUCAAGUACACUCAUAACUGAAUCGAGUCUCAAGAUUUGUCUUGAGCUCAGCUUGUUUUACUAUAACCAAGUUGAGCUCAAACCAAAGUAUGUUCAUUAACAGCUGGGGUUUUUUUGCAGUCCUAAGUGAAAACUUAUUUUUCAUGAUAAUACGACAUUUGUUGCGUAAUUAUCACUUUAUAUUAUCAUAUAACUGUAACGGAAGAUUUAUAUCUGUCUACAUUGACCUUCUUAAUCUUUAUUAGAGGGAUGCUUUGGUCGUUCUCACUUUUUGGUCCUUUUGCUGCACAUUUGCUGCACACAACUAUUGCAUGUUUAUUGGCUCCAUAUGGAUGAAAACCAUUCAGUUCUUAUUUAUGUCCCCUAGUUCUUUGUUUUUUGUCUUGUACUCUAUUAUAUUUGUAUCUUCCUGCUUCCCAAACUCAUGUUCCCGUGCUUCAGUUUUGGUUGCUUAGCUCAUUGUUUACCUACUGGUAAAUUAAGGUUUUCUUUUCAUUUCUUCUCAUAGUACAUGGCUAGUCCGGUGGGUAACUUGAAUCUUUAAUUGCAAAAUUUAAACAAUGGUUAUACCCUUAUUGGUUUUCUGUUCACGGGGUGAUUUCUUUCUCUAUUUGAUGGUCCAACCUGCUGGAGUUCUUUUUCUUCUAAUAACUUGGAUACCAUAAGAAACAUUAGAAUCACCACAUGCCAAGGUGAAGAACAUAAAGAACACGCUGUAUGAAGAUUGUUCUAAAUCUGUUGAAUGUAUGCUUGUAUAUUGGUUAUUUUAGUGUUUAUUCUUUAUUUUAGUUCAUAUACUAUAUUUAGUACUUCUACUCAUUCAGCUAGUGCUAAAGUACCAAUUUGCUGCAGCUGCUCUGGAGAAAGAGCUGUGGUCCACAGCAACCAUCAAUGAAGAGGUGCUGAAAACCAUUUACGUGAUAUUCACUAACUUCAAGAAACUCCGCACUUCUGAAGCGGCAACGCUGUGCAUCCCGCAUCUAGUGGGUGCUUUGAAAUCCGGAAACGAGCCUGCUCAGGAGACCGUACUCGACACCCUCUGCUUAUUAAAAGAAUCAUGGUCACAGAUGAAUGAAGACAUUGCCAAAGCCCAAGCCUUAAUUGCUGCUGAAGCUAUACCCAUUCUUCAAAUGCUUAUGAAAACCUGCCCGCCCAGCUUUCAUGAAAGAGCCGAUAGCUUGUUACACUGCUUGCCCGGAUGCUUGACUGUGACCAUUAAACGCGGGAACAACUUGAAGCAGACCAUGGGAAGCACGAACGCUUUUUGUUGCCUAAAAAUAGGAAACGGUCCUCCGAGACAGACCAAGGUAGGCUAUAUUCUUUGUGGAACCCCAAAAAUUUCAAAUCGAGCAGUUGGGAAAUUAAAAGUUUGGAGUUUUUGCUGUGGGGUGAAGCUGAAAUAAGUUUCAGGGCCCAAGAGUAGCGUUGAUUUGAAACUCUACUUCUGCUGCAGUGGAAAGCUGUGGAAGAGAUUAAGAAAAAAGCUAUUAUUGCUUUUCCAAAACACCGUUAAUUGCCAAAUGAACCAUGACAAUCUCUUAGAGUUGUGUUUUACCUGCUUACUAUGAUAUGCGAUUCUCAGGUGGUGAACCACAGCACGUGUCCAGAAUGGAAGGAGGGUUUUACUUGGGCGUUUGAUGUUCCCCCGAAAGGGCAGAAGCUUUAUAUUCUCUGUAAAAGCAAAAAUACAUUUGGAAAGGUAUGCAUAUUUGUUAUUCUCUCUCCUAUGGGGUUCUUAGUUCAUGAUUUCAUUAUCUAACUGAGAUUUACUGAUUACAUUUUAGUCAACCCUCGGGCGAGUUACCAUACAAAUAGACAAAGUUGUGACUGAAGGAAUAUACAGUGGAUUCUUCAGCCUCAGCCACGAUGGUCGGAAGGAUGGAUCACGGACACUCGAGAUUGAGAUUGUAUGGUCAAAUAGGACAUCAAACGAUGGCAUCUAAGAUUGUUCAGUGGUAAAAAUCUAUCCAAAAGCCUUCAUAAAACCAAGCAUGAAGAGCAAGCUAAAAGAAGCGCUCUUAACGUAUCAUGUAUCAGUUUGUUCUGCAUGAAUGAUGUCUAGUAUUGCGGUAGCAAGUGGAAGACUGACUGGCCCGAGAAGCUAGGAAGAAUAUCCAGCCUGGUUAUCACCAGAGUCUGUAGGUUUAUCAAUGGUGAGAUUAUUCUGAAGGCUGCUGAUUAGUUUCUAGAGUUGAUUGUUGCUGUACAAACUGAGAUUAUCCUGAAGGCUGCUGAUUAGUUUCUAGAGCUGAUUGUUGCUGUUAAAGUUUGUACAGGUAAGAUUUUGCUUCUCUCCUUUGUAAUUAGCAUAAGCUUGUGAUCAUUUUAAGAGGAUCAUCAUGGAAUGUGGAGGAUGGUAAUACCUUAGUAUACCACCAUUACUCUUUUAUGAUUCUUUAGACAUAUUUUACUUGCUGUAAUCUAGUGGAUAAGACGUAUUACGAUCUAUUUUUUCAUCAACAAAAACUUAGCAUAUAUUGUCACAAUCUCCUGUUGCCAUUCGCGAAAUACUUAUUGUGGUACAAAAAGUCGAGAAAUCACAUCUCGUAGGAGAUGAACCCUAAGGAGAGGAUCAAUAGUACAUGACAUAAAAUAGAUUAUCGCACUAUUAGUGGCUCUAUAAUUCAAGGCCAACCUUUGCAUACUUGUGUUUAAGAACCUACGAGUAGGGUUGUUUUUGUAAAUUUCUCUCUAUAGAUGUACCAUAUUAUUCGGCACAAUAUUUCUGCUUUGACAGUGCUGGAGACUAGAGAGUGCUGGAGACUGGACAGUGCUUGGUUCUAUCAAAUUUUCGAUCGUUUGAUGAAAAAAUAUGUGGUUUGAAUGAUAAUAGUCUCUUAGGGUUGAGUAGAUGGUUGGUUGAAUAAUAUAAUCUAACGAGUGAAAAUGAUUAAAGGACAGAUCGAGUGGUAAAAAAUUCGAUAGUAUCAUUGGAGGGUGGUUGAUUGAAUAGUAUAAUCUAACGAGUGAAAUGAUCAAAAGAUAGAUCGAGUGGCAAAAAAUUCGAUAGUACCAAAAGCUUGGUAUAUAUCCUCUGCAAAGAGAACUGUUAAUGAUUUUUUAGAAGGGCAAUGAUAAGAGUUAUUGAGUGCAGGUUUUAAGUUUUAAGCCCAAAAAAGAAGCUUAGACGGUAAGAAAAACUCAAGUGCCCGCAACGAAGACCAGCACAGAAGACGCUGUCAAGGUGAAUCAAGUGUUAGUUUUAUUUGUAACUUCGAGGAAGCUCAUAUUCGUAGAAAGAGAAUAUGAAUUAAUUAGAGAGAACGAAUUUCAAAAAAUAUAGAAACUAAAAAUAGAGAGGAAGAAUCCACGAGGAAAAAAAAACUAGAAUCAAACAAAAGGGUAGGCGAAGUUUGGGAUAAGGUCCUGUUAUGCCCCUCUCUCUCACUCGCUCUCUCUCUCUCUCUCUCCUAUAAUAAGUUAAGCGGCAACAGCCGCAACUGCUAUACCCCAAAUACUUACGGAUGACAACCAAAAUCAGACCAACUGCGCCUAGAGCAAGUCGCAAAAGAUUUGGUGGUUGAUAUCCGAUAUCCAAGUUUGAAUUCUAGUUAAUUUAUAUUUCUAGCUAAGUUUAUUUCUAAAUAAAAUAAACAAAGCGGGUAACGUGCUAUCUAUCUCUAUAAAAAAAAAAAAAAUCAAAAUGGGCCUACCAAUCUAACGAAGCUGAUUAUUUUUAUAUCAGAUUAACGCUCCAUGCAUGGCAUGCAUAUUAAAAUUCUGUGCACUAACUACUAAAAAAUUAUGCGUAUUCACGAAAAUAAAUAUAUUCUGUACAGUAACUACCAAAACUAUGCGUAUGCAUGAAAAUGUGGGAAGUCUAGAAGUCCUCACAAGUCGUAACGUAAGCGCGUCAUCCAACAGCAGUGGGGCCCGGCGGCUGCUCCCUCUCCCUCUCCCUACGCGGUGUCUGGAAUCACACAACCGCCACACGGUGGCAACAGUUGCGAAUUGACUUGACUUUCCUUUUACCAUUUCGAACCAAUAUAUUUUUGUUUUCUUUUUCAUUUUCUCGUGUCACAUAAUAUAGCUCGGUAUGCCUGUGACAGAAACGGUAAAUAAUCGAAUAUUUAUGAAUAAUUAAAAAAAAAAGUUGUUCAGACAAAUUUUAUAUUGAGAAAUUUUAGCGCAAGUCGGAAAGCUGCAUAGUCGCCCCUCCUCCUCUUCGUCGUCCUCGUCUUCCACAUCCAUCUCUCCUGCGUCUUCUCAGAGCCCGAUAAUGGUCGGGGCGAAGCGAGGGGCGGCGCUAAUGGUGGCGCUCUUGAUCGCGGCCACCAUCCUCGCCGCGACCCCGCCCUGCUCCGCGGCGGCGCCGGCGAAGAAGAAGAAGACGAAGGCUCCGACGCCGCAGCGGGAGAGCGGCGCCCGCGGUGGUCCCUCCUCCGCCGUGUUCCCCCUCUAUGGCGACGUCUAUCCCCGCGGGUGAGUGAGCAAGGGUGAAGGCCCCUCGAUUGAUUUCGAAUCCUAAUGGGCUCUGAUUUAUCGAUGUUGUCGUGUUUGGAUCUUGUAGUCUCUUCUACGUUUCGAUUAACAUCGGGGAUCCGCCGAAACCGUACUUCUUGGACGUGGACACCGGAAGCCACCUCACCUGGCUCCAGUGCGACGCCCCCUGCGUGAGCUGCUCCCCGGUAAGAUCGCCUCCCCCAAAUCCUUCUCCCAAUCCCAAACCCUAGCGAUCUCUCUUUCCAAUCCCUAAUUCCUUCCAAGAAUCAUCUCACUUUGGCGGCGCGAAUCCCAGGGGCCGCAUCCGCUCUACAAGCCGGCGAAGACGAAGCUGGUGCCCUGUGGCGACCCCCUCUGCGCCGCCCUCCAGGCCGCCGCCACGGUGGCCGGCGGCGGCGGCUGCGGCGGCGGCUCGGCGGAGCAGUGCGACUACGAGAUCGAGUACGCCGACCAUGGCUCCUCGCUCGGCGUGCUCGUCUCCGACGCCUUCUCCCUCCGCCUCGCCAACACCUCCCUCGCCCGCCCCAACCUCGUCUUCGGGUGCGCCCUCCAUAUCCCUCUCUUGUGAUCGGCAAAAUCUCGCCGAUUUCUGCUAAAGGGGUAAAUGCAUGUGUAUCCCUGUAAAUUUUGAAUUUACGGAUAUAAUAUUCUUUUAUAUCACUAUAAACUUUUAUACUUGCAUUUGUUAGUAGUUUUUUAGUGUUAAAAUCGUUAGGCUUUUAAAUAAUAUUGUUAGAAUUUUAUUUUAUCACAUUAGAGGUAAAAUGAGAUGAUAUUGGAGAUCGUAAAUAAAAUUCAAAGUAUUUGAAUAGAUGUUUCCAGGAAUAGUAUCACCAUUUUCGGAGAAAAACGCAGCAGUCUUACUACUUGGAGAAAUUUAUUUAGUAAUCUACAAAUUAUACAAAUUCUCCAAAAACCUGCAAUUUCUUCAACAUUCUACUCGGAGGAUUAUAUUUAGUGCUAUUGUUUUCUUCAAAAAUCUACAAAUUCAACAAAUACGAAUGAGUUUUUUUUUUUUUUUAUAACCGAAUCAUUUGAGGAUCAAACCAUAAGUGGCUGUAUCAUGGUGUGACUAGUAGGUAAUUUUCCAGUAAUAAAAAUCGGUGGUUAGUUAUUCAGCUCAUGGUGGUGUAAGGUUCUUUCUUGUUCGAUGGGCAGGUGUGGGUACGACCAGCAGUCGGUGAGUUCGAAUUCGCCGGCACCAACAGACGGCGUGCUGGGGCUUGGGAAUGGAAAGACGAGCUUGCCUACUCAGCUGAAGGAGAAAGGCAUCACUCGCAGCGUGGUGGGCCACUGCCUCAGCAGCAAUGGGGGUGGCUUCCUCUUCUUCGGGGACGAUCUUGUGCCCUACUCUCAUGCCUCGUGGACUCCCAUGUCUCGCAGCACAUACCGGUGAGAGCCCCUCCUUUCCAUUCACUUCUCUGUUAUUCGCAGGUUCUGGGUAAAAUUAGUGGGGUUAAUUGCAUCUCAGGGUUGGUUGCAUCAUAGUUUGGUCCCAAAGUUCUAUAAUUAGACUUUGUGUUUGGUAGGUAUUCAAAAUUAAUUCGGCUGGAAAUUGACGGAAUAGUUUGGUGUUAAUGCUAGAGACUUAAUCAAAAUAACUUAACAAAUAUUAGGAAUCAGUAGUACAAAUUAAAGGUAAUGGGGAUAAUUGAGAAGUCCGAAAAUUUUGCAGCUAAAUUGAACAGGGAGGCCCACAUUAUCAACUUAACCAUAAUCGAGUAAUGGCGCACAUUAUCAACCUAUGAUAAUUGCUGUAGUUCAAAAGUUAUUUUUCUGAAUUGAAGUUCAAUAGUUAAGUAUGCAACAUAUUGAAUACCAACAUAUUGGAUGUUUGCCCAAUUUGAUAGAAAAUUUCAAUUCAACGAAUAAAAUUGGAAUGAAAAUUUGAAAGCUAAAGACCCUAACUGUAAGUCUGUAACAAGGUAAAAUUGUUAGAUCUUACCUAAGCUUAUUUGUGCUGCAUUAGUUGGUUAACUUUGAACUUGGUCCAGGAAAUAUUAUUCUCCAGGGUCUGCAAAUCUUUUGUACGAUGCUCGAUCCCUCGGGGUGAAGCAAAUGGAGGCGGUCUUUGAUAGUGGCAGCUCCUACACCUACUUUGGACUUCAGCCAUACCAAGCUCUCAUCUCCAAGGUACAAGUCAGAAACUCUGAAUUAUCUUUUCGAAUAUGGACAGCUGCUGGUGUUUUGGGUUAUUGUAUUUUGAUCCAUAUACUUUUUAUUUAGGGUUUAAUAUAGUCUGUGAGGUUUGGCCUGGGUAUGAAUUUUGUCCCCAGUUUAAGUUGCGACAGUGUAGUUCUUACUGUUUGACUUUGAGAAGAUUAGUUCGAGGUUUAAUAAUAUAGUCAAUAGAGCUUGGCUCCGAUUUCAUUUUCGGUGCACAAAGUAUGAAUUUUUAACUUGCAAGUCUUAGAUAAUGCUGAUGUCGCACUAUUUCACCUCCCCUCCUGGUGACAUUGUUUACUUGGGAAAGAUAGAGGGGCUGAAUGCCUCUGUCGCAAGUGUCACACUUAGAUUUUUGCAUCUUAAUGUUAAGACAUAGUUUGCAUGUCGGACAGCUCAAGAAUGAUCUAAGCAAGACGCCGUUGAAAGAAGCAACCAACGACCACACACUACCGUUGUGCUGGAAAGGCGCGAAGCCCUUCAAAUCUGUGCAAGACGUCAAGAAGUACUUCAAGACGUUGGCUCUGAGCUUUGUUAACACGAAGAAAGCCGUGCUGGAGAUACCCCCGGAAAACUACUUGAUUAUCAACGUAAGUACUUAUUUAUUUUGACUGCUAAACAAGCAGCUUGUAGCUUUGGGACUGAUUAUCUUCCUGUUGUGAAUGGUGCCAGAAAUAUGGGAACGCUUGCUUGGCCAUUCUCAAUGGAGCAGAAGUAGGGCUGAAGGAUCUCAAUGUCAUUGGAGGUACAGUAAAAUUUUUUAAAACAUAAGCCAUUGCGAACCAGAAAAUGGAUACGUAAUUUAACUAGUUUGUUUUGAGAAAAUUGUCGAAGCCUCUAAAUUUGUACUACCAUUUUGAUGAAAUAUUAUAUAACUUAAUAGAGUACAGCUAGGGGUGUAAUGUGGGCCGUGCCGGGCUGGCACGGCCCACAUUACCCGGGCCGAUUCGGACCCAGGGUCGGCCCGGUCCGUUUAUUAGAGGGAAAGGCCCGGUCCAGCCCCCUGGCCCGCCCAGCCCGGGCCGGGCCUCGUGCCAGCCCAGUAAUAGGGCUUUUGCCCUUCUUCUUUGUCCUUUUUUGUAUUUUUUUUUUAAUUUUUUUUUGAAGAAAAAGAGAUAAGUAGUUAUGUAAUAUGAUCAAUUCAAAAUUUAUCAUUAUGUAAUAUGAUUAAGCCCGGCUUAAGUGCCGUUGGGCCCAUCUUCCAAGGUUACGGGGCUACGGUAGCCCUACAGACUACACUCUUCUAUAGGUAGGUCCAUAGGAUUUAGGGCAGGUCCAUAUUGUGAUCCCUGUUGUUCUAUAGCCCAUAGACAUGGCCUAUGGGAUUUAAACCACCGGGCCGUGCCGGGCUGCGGGCCGGCCUCCGGCCCGGCACAGCCCAGUCCCAGACCCGACACGGGCCGUGCCGGGCCUGCAGGCCGCAAAACUCAGCCCGGCACGGCCUGGAGUGCCAGGCCGGGCCGGCCCGGAGUGCCGCCCGGCCCGUUUUACAUCCCUAUUAAAUGGAAUAUGUUGAGUCUCUUUCCAGAAAAUUUUCUCAAAUAAAACAAACUUAGUUUAGAGGUUAAAACAAAUAACCAUCUGUUUCCAAUUAAGCUUUAGCUUAUACAAUGAUCUUUGCUAUGGUGGACGUGCGCAGAUAUAUCGAUGCAGGACCUCAUGGUGGUUUACGACAACGAGAAGGGCCAGAUCGGAUGGAUCCGUGCAGACUGCGAUAGGCUUCCCAAGUCUGGAACUUCUCAUCUAUGACGUGAUCAUUUUCUUCUUUUUUACAUAGGCAGAAGUAGGGAGAAUUUCUUACAAUUUUUUUUUCCUUCUUCCACCCUUUUCUCUUUAUUCAAAAACAGUGCAGAUGAUUAUCGUGGCUUUGAGAGGGGUUUCUGCCAGCCUCAGUUCACCGACAUGGGUAUUCUAACAGAUUUCUGCCCUGCUUAUGUUCACUGAAAUGCGGCUCGAUUAAGGGCAGGAUUUUGUAUCAUCUAUGAAUAUUAUGUAUGCAAAAAUACAUUGUUUUAAGAAAUUACAUAGAAACCUAGUCCAUCUCCUGUCCCUCUUGCUGGAUGUAAUAGUAUAAAUAAAUACAUGAAAACUUGAUAGUGGCGGCUGCCGCUGCUCCCAUAUUUGUUAGAAGUGGCUCAUUCAAUGGUGCAUAGUUAGAACUCUAACAUGAUCCUUAAUACUGAGACUAAAUGACAAACGAUGCCCAUAAGUUUCACCUCUUUCUCUUCGCCAAAAGAACUGUACAAGAGGGCUAACCAGCAAAGCAUCAAAAGGAAAAGGCAUAGGAUCCAAAUGGUAAGGAUUAAAAUCAGCUGCAUUUAAUAUAAAGAAUUUGAAAUUAGCAGAGAUACGAAGGUUAAACAAAAAAAUGAGAAAUCAACAGGUACUAACCUUAGAAGGCAAAUGAAAAGCUCUUAUCACAACCGGGAGAUACUAGCACUAUAGAGCUUGAUUUGUCAUCUGCAUAUAAAUGCAUAAUAGCAUUAGUGCACGGUCAAAUAAUAGUGGUUUCUCAACAAUCUUCAGUACAAGGGGGAAAAAAUGAAGAAAUAUUGACAAAAUAUCAAAAUCCAAAUUAAAUGGUGUCAGCUCUAACAACAGAACAAGAGUCAGAUGUAAAAGAGGGUCAAAAACUGUCUCAAUGUCCUAAAAAUUGACAGAUAAAGAGUAAUAAACAUGACAAAGAAAGAAUAGGAGGGGGAUUAAUCUCAGGACGAUUCCUGGUGAAGCAAAACAGAAAGCAGUAAUGAUGGAAUUUUACCUUUGCUUGGCAAAUCUUUGAUAAUGCUUCUAUAUGAAAAUUUUGAAGCUCUUCAAGAGCAUUAUUAUCUAAGCCACCAAGGUCUUCACCCUGAAAAGAGACAUAUAUGUAUGAUUAUUUUAUUAAUUAAAGUAUCUCACUAUUGUGCAAUUUGAUUGACAAAAAGAAGCAUAUGAUGACAGGCAUAUAAACUAAUGUUACAUGCAGCAUAAAACAGCAUACUCUUAAUCUAGCCACAAUGCUUUCUAGUUCCUUGCAGUGUCGUCUUUCAUACUCAUAUGCAGUUCUUGCUUCUUCCAAACACUUCCUUUUAUCCAUAUCAACAUCUAGGUGAAAACCAUUUUGUUUCAACGGAAGUUCGUGAUCACUCAAACCAUCAACUAAAUUUUCGUGAGGAAUACUGCCAUUCUUCUUAAUCUUAGCAACAAGCACCCACAUGCUUGCUAGCUCGUUCUCCAAAUCCUGUUCGCGAUGUUUCGCCUCAUCAAUCUUCUUUUGAAGCUCACCCUCUCUUUGCACCUUCUCAGACAAUGUGGCUUCUAGAGAAGCUUCUCUCUGGCACCUUAGAGCCAGCUCUCUCUGCAAUUCCUCUAUCAAAAGCCCAUUGUCUGGUUUAUUAGAAUAGACAUCACAUCGUGAAUUAGCUCUAGCAGCAGAAGUAGAAGCCAUUUCCUUUGCUGCAACUAAAUCACCACUCAACUUGGCAUUCUGGUAAGAGAGUUUCGUGACUUCUUCGGCCAAGUUUCGAAGUUCAACUGCAGCAGCCGCAGCCAAUUCCUUGGCAUAGGAAGCUUCUUCAGCCAGUUUUUGGCUGUGAAUCUCGAGCCCAUCCUUCUCUUCAGCCAAUCUCACCUUCUCCUGUUUCAGAUUCUCAAUCUCCGCCGCCUAACUCGUAAAAAAAAAGAAACAAUUUAAUUUAAUAUUAUAUUCUAGAAACAAAAUAAUAGAGUGAUCAAGUUAUGGCGAAGAAAAAACAAAGGAUUACUCUAUUUACCAAGGUUAUGAUGAUGAAGUAACAAAAGGAUUACCUGCAUGAGUACUUGGGACUUUAAGGAUGCCUCUUUAGAGUCUUCACUAGAUAACAUGAAAGGAAGGCUCAUCGCAUUAGAUGGUACAUUUCCAUUGCUAGAAACUUCCUUAGAUGAAUCAGCAUGUUUUGUCAGAUUAGGAGUACUGAUAGAAGUAUAAGAACCAAUAUGCUGCCUCAUUAAUGAGAUGGUUUCCUGAAGCUCGGCAUUUUCAGAUAUCUGUCAAAAUUUGAGAAAGCAUACAGGACGGAUCAAAUUAAAUCUGAAACAAUAUAAUCUAUUUAAUUUUGUUCUGAAAUUUCACCUUUGCUUGUAGCUGGUCUUGAAGAAUUCUAUUGUCUGCAGACAUUAUCUUUUGAAGCCAUCACAUUGAAGUGAAAAAAACAAAAAAGAAAAAAAGAAAAAUCAGUAAUGUCUAUCACCGAAAAUCAAAGGAGAAACUAUCGAGGAGAGAAGUUGGACAAACCUCAAGCUCAAAUGUCUUCUCACUUAACUGGGUAGUCAACUUUGAUAGAGUCUACAAGAAAGUUAAGUUUGUGAGUUUAGCAUCACAUCUUUUAGAACACUACGCAGCAAUAAUAAUAUCCACUGGCAAAGUGAUUACUUGACUGAAAAGCCAUAAGUACUCAAAUUAUAUACACAAGUAUUUGUAGACAACUGUGCAAACAUAGGAAGAUGAAAGAUUGCAGCUGGAGAACACAAAAGGUUAACAGCAUUCGCAAGCACCAUGACUACAAUCACAUUUUUUUAGUAAGAGUGUUCACUCAGAUGCAAGUCUACAACAAGGGGUCUUUCUUCCAUGACUUGGUAUCGCCCAAUAAGUAGUUAUAUGAUUGGCUAAGGCAGAUAUUUUACUGACUUUAUCUUCUCGCUGCGAAUGCAAAGUGUAAACAACAAAGGGGGAAAAAAAAGAAAGAAAAAAAAUUACCUGAGACAUUUCUAUACUAUCCGACGAUUCCUCAAAAGAUCCUGCCAUCCGCUGCUCAAGGACACGCAUCUGUAAUUUCUUUUCAGCAAUUUCAUUCUUUAGCUUCUGCAUUUGUUCCUACAAGAGAUAUUAAAAAGACUUUAACUUAUUCAGUAAAAAGGAAACCUAGAUUCCUAACAAAACAGUGAGAUGACUCCACAAAGCAGAUGAAUGAGACCUUUGAUUAUUCAGUACAUAAAUUGAAAGUUCAUUUAGCUCACAUGCCUGAAUUUGUUGGUCGUCGGGGUUGUUCACCACUUGUUCUGACAGUCUCUUAAGAGAGCUUGUACAUAGUGCAACUUCACCAGCUAGCAUUUUCACCUGCUCGCGAAGAAGAUCCAUUUGAUCAAUGAUAGUUGUUCCAGUCUGCAAGACAAGCAACUUGAGUUGGUAAGAUAUUCUGAUAGCAGAUGAAGUAAAAUCCAUAAAUACACUGAAACCCAAUACCAACAACAAUUCGCACAUGAAAGAAAGAAAAGUAAAAUGACUUAGAAAACAUGAAAAACAUAUAACCCACAAGAUGCUUCAGUGCACAAGUCUAAUAUCACCACCUAUAUUAAUAGAAGAGCCUAAAUCAAUUACAGGUUAAGUACAAAAAGGAAAAUCCAUACCUUUAGGGUGCAUAAAGUGAUUCUCUUUAUGGACAUGAACAUCAAAGGAACCAUAUAUUCAAAUGUCUAGAUGUAUGGUUAGUUUACAUAACAUGCAAAAGACCAUUUUAUCUAACGCAACAUUACAAGAAGCAGGGGUGGAGAGAGAGAGGGGGAGGGGAGAGAUCAAAGUCAAUAGAUUCAACAAAUGAAUAGGGAGUAAUUCUUGUAAGCAUCAACAGGAAAGCUAAUAGUAAAAGUCCAACCCUUUAAUUUAGCUCACCGGCGGAAGACGGCGUCCUUUUGUGGCGGUGCUAAAUAGAUCACCUGCUUGUGUCCUUUCUCGGAAGGAGUCAAUAAGCACGGAAGGAUCGUCACUCUUUCUACUUACGGACUUCCUCCUCCCAUCCUUCAGAUCAAAUGAUAUAUGUUUCUGUUGUGAUUGUUGAGAACACGAAGGGGACCCACUUGCGGUGCUCUCACUAUCAGCACCAGGUGAGAGUCCAGGAAAUUGAUCUGGUUUCUGCAUGAGAAGUUAUUAAUCUCAAGAUACUUCAGGGUUCUUGCAGAUAUAGAUCGUAGUCAGCUGGUGCUAACUCUUAGUGGGCCAACAAGGCAUGAUCCUAAAACACAUAGUCACUUUCAAGAUAGAAAUUGCUCAGUAGAAGCUAAAUUGACAUUAAAAGUUGUAUGCCAAGUUUAAGAAGGCUUGACCGAUACCCAAAUUAUAAGUAAAACAAUAUUGUUACUUCAUAGCUGACACGGAUCCAGCUAGGUUGAGGUCCUACUUAACACAGCAUUCAGGAUGAUGAUAAAAUGAGAGAGAGAGAGAGAGAGAGAGAGAGAGAGAGAGAGAGAGAGAGAGAGAGAGAGGGGGUACAAAGGGAAGGGGGAAGGGGAUACAGCCAACGCAUUGAGCAUGUAAUUGAUCUCAAAUUUAAGGAGUUUCUGCUAAGCUAUUCAUGUGGAACUGUACCAGCAAUGCCCCAUUUUAGUUUUAUUUAAAUAAUGUGAGAAUAUAGACAUGAAGUUAUUUUUUAACUAAGAAAAUAGUAUCAAUGUGUAAAGCUGUAAACUUCAGUCUUAUUCUAGUGGGUUACACCCAUGAGCUUCAUAAUGGUAAGUUUCAUAUUUCCUUGUAGCAACGCCUGAAGACAAAAGAUGCCAGACAAUUCUAAACAAACAGCGAAAAGAUUAACCAAGAAGCUCACCCUUAGUUUGAACCAACCAAGCAUUCCACGCCUACGAUUCCUUUUAUCAAACCUGAUUGGCUCAUCUAUGCCGCUUCCAUCAAUUCUUCCUGCUGAGAAGUCGGAAUCAAGACUGCCAACAUCAUCAUCCUCAAUCGUGUACUCCCUCUUACGAUCAGGCAAAUAAGCAAGCUGCAACAGUUUAAGAAGAUAUUUUUAAAAAUGCUAUUACAACAGUGGGACUUCAGUCAUAGCAAUAUAGAUGACGAUGCAGAAUGGAAUAACCUGAUCCUAAUUGGUUCGUUUGAUAUUCAUUAGUUCUACAAAAAUGGUAAAUUUAGUAGGAAGAAUUAACUCAGAUAAUUACUGUUAAAUUGCUCUAUCAAAUCAAGCCUGUUCAGUAAUCUCUAGCGAACUCAUUUAAACAGAAGUCAAAAACCAAGCCAACCAGGUUAGUUUCCUAACUACAUCAGUCAUAUUAAGAUCAGUUUCCAGCCCAUUUAUGCUGCCAUAAUCUUAUUGUAGACCAAUCAGUUUGUAGGAAAACUAAGAAAAAAAUAUUACAAGAACAAAUUAGUAACCAUAGCAAAAGAUUGAGAUAAGUUUGUAGGAAAACUAAGAAAAACUAUUACAAGAACAAAUUAAUAACCGAAGCAAAAGAUUAAGAAUAAAACCUCAUCUUCCCCAAAAGAAUGCCUUCGUCUAUGACCAGCCUUCUCUGAAAUGUUUGAUGGCAUAGAAUUCUUGGUGGAUACUAAGAUUAGUUUAGUCAGCCGCUGAAUCCGACCCAUCAGGGCUGCUUUUGCUUCCUCCUCCUCUUCCAAUCUUGACUGUAACUUGACUUGGCCAGCUUCAAGCUUUCAUAUUGGAGAAAGAACUAAUUUCAAAAACAUUGAAAAAAGGAGGCUAGAAAAAAGUGGAAACAUAAACAAGAAUUGUUUAUUAGCUGCUUGAGAUGAGAAGCUAGCACGAAAAGACUCCCAAGUAUUGCAUCUAAAUAGUAAGCAACCUAUCCCCUGUUCAAUUUGCAUACGUAACAUGAUAGCAUAAUAUGGCAAAGGAAACACUUAAGGGGUUGCUCUACAGAAUAUCCUUACAGAACAAACUGGAAGAUUCUAGUUUCUUUGCAACAAAGUUAAUAAUGGCUGAAGUCUAGUUACUAGUAUACCAAAAGCUCUUUUUUUUAUUUACUUUUUUUAAAAAAAGAGAUAACUGUGCUAGAAUCUAAAUCAAGAUGUUGAUAUGAAAAAAAAAAAAAAGAAAAGGGAUGGAAAUGGAUAUCAUUGGACUUGGUUAUUCUCCUCCCCACUCAUAGUUUACAAAUAAAAUGCUGUUGCAUAAUCCGUCAUUCCGUUGGCUACAAGAAAAUAUACCAAUCUAAAACCUUUAUAUUGUCAGUCCAGAGUUGACAAUGGCAGUUCAAGAUCAGUCUAAUGAGUUGCCUGAUAAUGAUGAGAAACUAUGAUUAAAAAAGCUCGGAUUAACAUGUAGUACAAACAACAUCAAAAUACCAAAAAAAAGAGACUUAAAAUAGCUUCAGAUUUAGCCUGGAUAGCUUAUUGAUUUCAUGCUUAUAAUUUAAAAAUUAUACCAAUUUGUAACAAUUUGGGUCAUUUUGUAACUUUCUGAUCAUCAAUGACAGAUUUGCAGAAUAAUGAGAAUAUCCGGAAAGAACUGCAUUUGCAUGAGAAAAUGAUUAAGCUAACCCAAAAAUAGAUUCCAUACCCGGCAAACUCCAGACAAUGAAUGGUGCUAGUAUGAUGGUUAUAAAGGAUGAUAGAAAGACAAACCUUAAGUUUUAGGUUGACAAGAUCCUCUUGACUGGAAGCAACAAAGUUGGGAUGUUCCAUCAUGCCACGUUUUAAUUGCUGCAGCUCUUGUUUUAGGCAGGAAAUCUCUCUCUGGUACUUCUUUAUAAGAGACUUCUCAUCUAUUAUCUGCAAAAUGUGGUUAGCAAUAACAAUCAGUUCCUCUCAUCAUGCAUAUCAGGUCUAUAUAUAAAAUGGAGUAAAUGUGUCACCUUAUUUUGAGAAGCUUUAAUUUCAACAUGCUUGCAUUUGUGUGCAAAUUUGAGUGUAUUAUGCGUUUCCUCACUAUUGCUAGAGGCAGGAGUAACCGUGCAGAUAAGCUGCCAAAAGCAGAGGGAAAUAAAAAGCAAUCAUAAGAGCAGUGAAUUACAUUUUAAAUUAUUUUCUUCAACAACACAGCCCACAGUUAAAAGAAGCAUGAAAAAAGGAAUUUCCAAUACCUCCACUAGUGGAAAAAGGAAAAUUAUUGAUGCAACUGUUGCACAUUUAAGAACUUACAGAAAUGCGUCCAUGACCACUAAGAGACGACUGCAGUAAGCGGGUGAGUUUUGAAUCUCUGUAUGGAAUAUGAGUAGCCUUGCCAUCUGUGAGUUUAGAAAUAACCUGGAUAGCAAAAAUGACAUUUUUAAAGGACUCACUUUAAAAUACAAUAUAAUAGUUGUAAAAGCUGCAUAUAUAGUAACACAUGAAAUAAGCACAAUUUUCAGCAAAAGGAAAGAUAAGAUGGUAAAUAUCACAAAACCCAUUACCAGUAACUGAAUGUUUCAAUAGUUUAUAAUGGAUGAGAAUACUAUCAGUUGAAGGCUUGUAGAUGCAAGAAAUAUAAGAUCAUUCACAAAAAUAGACAUGAAUUUUAAAAAAGAAGGAAAAAACGAAGUCCAAUUCAAAUACCUAAGGUUGAACAGAAAGAAAAAACAAUGCAGAUGAAGCUAACCUUCUUUAGGAUAUCUUAAUGUGCUAGGCAUGUACAAGUGUAUAACAUAUUUCAAGAUGAGGUCAGCCUUUAACAAAAUAAACUUCCUACUCUCAGGCAUUUUUAAGUAGAGGUUAUAGUACAUAGUUUAAUUUUUUCCGAAGUUUUGAGAAUUGGUAAAAACCUCGGACAUACUUCAAUAAGGAGAGGAUCCUAUCAUUUAGGAUGCAUAAUAUUUUGACCAACAGAAAAAUGCAAGGUAUUAAAACUCUUUCCAUUGACAAGCCUCCAAAAACCAAUUCCUUAGGUUGGCAAGAAAGAGCCCGAAUGUUUUCUUCAUAAUUAUUAACUUUCAUUCGAUUAGGUUGUAUAUGUAUCCUGAAUAGAGGUACAAAUCGUACAGAAAUUUAUAUGGAAGCUCUUAGGACAAAAAUAUUAAAAAAUAUAUAUAGUGAAAAUAAUAAGUAAUAGUAGUCAGACAAAAAAUGUGUCACACACAUGAUCUUAAAAGACCAUCAAUAAUCCAAAAAACAAACUUCUGUAAAAAUAAUCUAAAGGUUGGAUAUUAUGAUACUUGAUAUUUCGAAGAAAUGAAAACACCAACAAGCAAUCCGAUAAAUCAUCAACUAAGAUUUAAUCAUUGAAUAUCUUGAAAAAGGCUUCUAAGAUUGAAUAAACUAAAAGAUAAUCAUAACUUUACAGUAAGUUAAAAUAGAGGAAGAACAAUGGGAUGCAGUAGCUUACAGUCCCAAGAGUAAGUAAACUUUUGUUUAUGUAUGAACCUUCCUUCCGUCUCAACCCUGUUGUUUCAGUCUUGGAACUUUCUGACCCAGCUAGAUCAAUCAAGUUCUGAAAUAUUUGUCAAACCAGAAAGUCAGGGGGGAAAGUUGCAAUUAGACAGAAUGAAUGGUUGAUUUACAGAAACAACAGCAUGCAUUAAACAAAAGAUCAUAUCUCCUAGAAGGAAAAAGAAUUACCAACUGAGAUAGUCUAACUUCUUCCUCAUCUUCAUUUUCACCAGAAGGGCUACUCUCAAUAGUCUGCAGGCGCAUAAUUUCUGUAAGUUACUAAAAUAUACCUUCAAGUCAAUUAAAUAAACGGUGUAACAAAAAAAACAAUAAAUGCUAUUUAAAUUGUGAAUACGAUAAACCAAAAAGCUAUAGUUUCAGAAAUCCCACAAGAAUGCAAUGCCAAAGAAACUUACCAAUGUGAAUAUAGUGUGACUCCUGCUACUGACUAGAUUGAAGUUAUUAGAACCCACAUGUCUGUGCUCUGCAACAAUAUACUGUGAUAAGUGCAAACGGAAGUAUUCCAAUAUAAACAUUACAACAAAGGGAGCAAACAGCAAUACAAAAGAAUAACAUGUACAAUAUUCCUGACUAAUAAAAAAGGAAUAUGUUCAUGUUAGUGUUAAAAAGACGUAAUCCUGCAAUCUGCAGGAAACAGAAGCAACAAUGCACAUGCUGUGUACUCCAAGAAGCCCUGAAUAAUGCACGUUAAAUUGAUUAGCAAAGAAUCCUAGCUCCAGCUAAGAAUCCACUAAAACUGAUAAUGAACAGAUUAAAAAUGUCACAUAACACAUUCAAAUGAGCUUCUUAGGUUGCAUAGGUAAGUUAUAAAAUGAACAAAGAAUAAUCCAAAAAACAAACCAAUACAGUAAAUACUUCAUCACCCACAGCAAUGCACAACCCACAGCAAUGCAUAAUGGAAGGCUAAAGUACAAUAACCACCGUUGCAUAUUUGCCCAUAUCUCAACUAUCCUCUAUGUUUUCUAUUACUUCGAUUUCAACUUUACAUGUUAGGAUAAUAAGGUGACAAAUUUCUAGGGUAAUAAGGCAUGAUAGUCAUGUAGUUUAAAUAAAAGAUAUGUAAUCAAUCUCUUUGUAGACAUACCUUCACCAGAUGCUAUUAAGGAAAGAGCAUGGGCAGGAGAUAGAACCACCUCUUCUUUGAUUCCCUCGACAUAUGUUCCCUACAUGAAAUAUGAAACUAUCGAAGUUCAGCAUAAUAAAUGAGAAGUACUAAGUGAAAAUUAACAGUCAUGCAGAUAAUGUUUGGAAAAAAAAAAAAGGAAAAGGAAAAGGAAAAGUAAAUGACAAACGGAAUAAAUAACAUAUGCAUAAGCCAAUCGACAUGGAAAGCUAUUCAACAAUUGAGGUUAGAAACCAUAACAUGCAGAAACUUAGCUGCUAAAGCACCAAAAUAUGAUCUCAGUGGGGAUUUGUGAAAUGUGACAUGUGGAAAAGCACAAUUUAGUGCUUAUAUAUAUUGCUUAUGAGUUUGUUGUUUACUUCAUGUUUAUUAAUCAAGCGAUACAAUGUGAAAAUGGUUCAGCUUGAAGAAGCAUACUUAUUUGUCUUUUUGUCUUCCUUCUUACACCUUUUUCUGCAAACAUUUGCCUGAUUUACAAAAUGCAAAUAUGUCACUAUAAAUCUUAACAAUGCUUCAUUGUUUUAAGUUCAUAAUAUGGGCAUAAAAAUAAAAAGAUAGCUUAAAAUUUUAUAGCCUGCUAUCAUGCUUCAUUAGUGAUUUCUAUAUAUAAUUCGAGUAUUUUGCAUGAUUAUCUGCUCAUACUAUGACUAAAAUACAAUUACACACUUGAGUACAUAAUAGUUCAAAAAAACAUACAAGAACUGUCUAACAAAAUAAAACAAAUGAUAUUAUCACAGCAGUAUGCCAGAUCCCAGUUUGUUAUUUAUGGUAUAAUCCACUUUUGUUACACGCUUUUAACUGAAAAAAGAAAUAUCUGCACAAAAUAUAUGACUCAUUAACAUCAUGCUACUAUUGUGCAAUGAGCAAGUUCUGAUGGAAAAAAUGAUUACCACUUUCAACAUCGAGAAGGAAAAAAGAUAUUACAAAAACUUCAUUACUUAGGAACUAGCAGACAACUUUCAAUCCCAGAAAGUAACAAGCACAAUGUUGUCAAUGUUUAGCAUCCUGGGACAAAAUAGCUGUCCCUAGGUGUGACAAUGGACAGAUCAAUAUCUACCCAUGUUAAUGGCAAAACAGAUGACAUUAAGUCAUGGUACCUGUGAAUCCUCCCUUAUUCUAAGGUUCUGUCCUGUUGGGUCAAGCAAAUCAUUAAUAACCUGUCAAGGUAGAAAAGGAUAAAAGUUAAUAUAUUAAAACACUAGAGGAGAUGAGAGUUGUAUUGUUUUGCAAAGGUUGUCUAAAUCAUAUAGCAAGAAAACUUCAGGAAACUAAUGCUGCUUAAACAGAAGAUUCAAUUGCAUUAUUACAUAAACCGCAAAACCAUGGAAGUUUAAAGGUGUCAGUACAAAUAUCAGAAAAGAUAAAUAUUUGCAGUUCAUGUGAAAAUACUUACAAUCAUACCACCUUAAAUAAGACCCAAAAGGGUAGUACCUCAUUGUAUAUUUCAAGGUAAGAAACACGCAAAAGAAAUUCUCGGCCAGGCGUCUGGAAUCAAGAGAUUGAAUAAAAGAUUAGUAAAAAUUUUAAAAAAUAAGGAUGAGACCAGGCAAAUAAUGAAAGAAAACACCCAAGACAUGAUCAACAGUGUUUACAUCUUGGAUAAUGCUGAAGACAUCCUUCACCGCCAAUGGAAUAAUUCCAGGGGACUUUUGCUCACCCUUAAGGAAAAAAAAAAAAAACAGAAAGGUAAAAGAAAAGAUGAUAACAUGGUGCUAGCAACAAAUUAAACUAAGGCAAUUCAAUGUCUUUAGUUUGUCAGAACAAUUAAACAAUAGACCCUAACAAAUAAACUCUAGAAGAAGUUACACAAUUGAAGAGAAAAAAUUUCCAUUGAGGUGGAUCGCCACGAUGACAUAAAAAUUUAGAGAUGGUUGGCGCAUUUAGAAGUACAUAAAGAUUUAGAGAUGGUUGAUGCAUUUAGAAGCUUAAUUAAAAAGGAAAGAGAAAUUUCAAGCAUUUGCACAUACGGACAACGAAAAUUUUGAUUUGACAGAGAGCUAAAGAUUUUAUUAUUCUUUGAUUCACUAUUGGACGAAAAUCUUUGCUCCACAAGUCUACAGUUUCUUAAUUCUAACAGGUGGUCAAAAAGUUGGAGAUAAAUAAUGAACUAAAAAUUUGGAAAUGGAAUUUAGUUCGUUUACAUUUGGAAACCUCACGUUUAUUGACAUUGCAGUUAAUAUCCUACUGCAUAGAUUAGUGCCAAACAAUCAGCUGUUCACACCCGAGGUGUUAGUUACAGACACGUAAAAAGGGAAACAAUUUGUCAAUUAAUCAAUUUGAAUAAUACCCUUAGGAUCAUAACAAAUUUAUGCUUUUGUAUAUCAUUAGGUGCUCCCCUGAGAGCUCGACAGAUAGCAAUAAUAAAACAAUAGAACCAAAAUACAAUUUAAACAAAUAAUUAGACAACUGGAAGUCUGGCACUAGAAACUUAAAUUAUGCAUAACUGAUACAUAUAAGAUUGCCACGGCAUCAAAGACUUACGUGCAUGGUAUGAGUUUUGCCACUACUAGUAACACCAUAGGCAAAAACAGUACCUGUGAUACAGAAAUAUCAGAACCUCUAAGAUAAUAAUAACUGAAGGCCAAGUAAUUUUUAAUAAACAUAUAUCUAGAAGGAAUGUGGAAAUAUGAACCGAUAACCCAUGUUCUAUAUAAAAUAAACUGCAUCAAUCAAAUCAAAGACAACUUCUAGGGCCACACUUAAGUCAAAAAGAAAGGAGAUUACAGACACUAAGCUCAUACUGAACAAAUCAAAGAACGAAAGUUUCACAUGCUAUAAUUAGCUUUUACAACAUUGUUAAUAGUAACACAUUAAGGGCAUGUUUGGUUCAUGAGUGGAAUGAGAGUGGAAAAUGGAAUUAGAAUGCAUUGGAAUAGAAAAUGGAAUGAAGAAUCAUCCAAAAAUGUUUGGUUCGUUAUUGGAAUGGAAAUCAGAAUGGACAAUUGGGACACCUAAAACUUUGAGAGAGGGGUUUUGGACCUUUGGUUAAGAUAGAGGAGAGUGAUGAGCGGAGAGAGAAGAGGGAGGUAUUUAUGAGAGAGGAUUUUGAGUGGUUUAUUCUAAAAUUGGCCAAUCUAGAAUUCACAACCGAAUUGGGUCAUAAAUGGAUUGUGUCAUUCCCAUUCCCGAGUGAAAUGAAAAUCGGAAUCCAAUUACUAUUAACGAUAACUAUUGAGAUAAGGGAUUCCCAUUCCGAUUCCAGAGUCUAAAAUAGGUGAACCAAAUAAGCCUUAAGUGCUAUGCAACAGUAUAGACGAAUCCGAAGUUCCAAAAACAAAAUUAGAAUUAUUUGAAUUUCUAGCGUUACUUAGCACAUGAUGCCCGUGUAAUAGACUGUAUAAAUUUAUAUUUACAGGCAUCCCAUCUUAUGCAAAUAGGCCUUUUACAUCUCUCAAAUGUGAAAUUAUGACCAUUCCAAAACUACAAGUUCUUCACUUGGUUCCCCAAGUAUUCUUCGGAAGUGGAAACUAAGAAUAGAAAAAUCAUUAAAUCUCAACGGUACCAAGAAUAAGAAAGUACCAUUGAUUCCUUCCAUUGCACUGCUUACAACAUGCUGAGCAGCUACAUCGUAAACAUGACGAGUUGUAGUUGCCGGGCCAAACACUUUAUCUGUCAAAAUAAGGGGAAAAUAACAUUUUUCAGGGAAAAAGACCGAAUGUUAAAGGAAAAGGACAAAACUAUAUUGAUUCUACUGGAUUAUCAUGUUUGCUAUACCACCCUGUGCCAAUUUGGCACAUAUCUUCCAAAUGCCUUAUCUAAUUAAUGAGUAUUGAUCACAAUACAGGUUCCUUCAAGAAGCUUUGUAGAUUGAAUAAGUUGAGCGAUGCGAAUGUGCAAACUGUUAGGAAGAAACUAUCCAAGCCCAAGUAGUCGUGUUAAAAUAUACAGAUAGCACAUUGGCACAGCAAUUCUCCACGAAACAAUUGUUCAUUGAUCAGCAAAAUAACAGGAGAUUAACACUCUACCAUUGUGAUAAUUCUCAUUAUCAAAGUGUUAAAUGCGUUGAUAUAGCAUGCAUUACUCCGGCCAAUUUUGGUCUAUUUAUUGGUAGACUAAUGGGUCAUGCUGGCUUUUUGAACAGCCAUUAAUAAUAUCUUUUGUUACAUAAGUAGAUGAUGCAACUUGCCACGCUGAACGUUCCCUAAACAUACAUCUACUCAUACCCAUAAAAAUUAAUGCAUAUUGUUUUAAGGAAAAGUAGAUAUAAACUAAAAAAAAAAACUAAAAAUAAAGGACUCGAAGACAUUUCCUCAAUAUCUCAAUCUAUGAGUAUCCCUCGGACUAAUUAUUUCGACUACAACGAGAUCAAAGUAAUUGCAGUCUUGCAUUUGUAAAGUUGACAUGGCACAAAUGGUUCAGAGGGUCCAAUAAGGCAACAUUUAAAAUUUAAGAUAACUUUAAUUCAGCGCUCCUAAAGGCUCAUACAGCUGUAGACAGCAUGGAUCAUUAUCUCUACACAACAUUAACCCACAUUACUCAGAAAGAACUAAUUCAUGCUACAAACCUCCACGACAACUGCUUGGAAAAGUAAGCAAAAAACUGCUUGGAAAAGUAAGCAAGCGCGGACAAGAUUCUCGAGUAAGGGUUAGGAAUACCGACCGAAACCGUAAGCAAUCGACAGAUUGUACUCAUUGCGCACGGUAUAAUCCCCAUCGGCAUACCACGCGACCUCGUCGCCUUUGUUGAUCUCUCUCGCGCUACCAAGAACCAGUUACUUGAUGAAUCAGACCACUUUUCUCAGCUCAAACAAGGGGUAGACACUCACAAUGGAGAAAGAAGAGGGCGCCGCAUACCUAAGAGGCCGAAACCGGACGGUGACGGUGACGUUCUCCUUGGACUUGGCGAGAUCGGGGGGGCGCUCGGAGAGCUGAGACGAAGUAGGGCUAAUGGGAGCCGCAGAGACCGGAGACGGCCUCGCGGGCCGCGUCGCCGCGGAGGACGAAGCGGACGAGGGGGUCGUCGGCCGCGCCGACGCUAAGGAGGACGGGGUCGCGGGCCGAGCGGCGCCGGAGGAGGCGGAGGAAGGGGUGGUGGGUCGAGCUCCGGGGGCCUUGGAGGGGGGAGGGGUGGGGGUCUUGCGCGAUCGGAAUGGGGAGAUGCUCGCUCUCCCGGACUUGGAGGACAUGGCGAGAGUGGUGAGGCGAUCGACAGGAACAAGACGAGCUCUCUCUCUCUCUCUCUCUCUCUCUCUCUCUCGAUCUCUUUGAUCUCGUCGAUUCUAGGGUUUCGGAUGGAGACGAAGGAGGAGGACGAGGAGAGGAGACGACCGGCUCACAUGCUCUCUCCCUAUCUCUCUCUCUCUCUCUCUCUCUCUCUCUCUCUCUCUGCCGCCUCCGGUCCAAACUACGGAAUAUUUUUUGAAGUUGGCUUUUUCUUGUUUCCCUCAUUCUUUGAUGCUGGGGAGGGGGGAGAGUGACGGUAGCGUUACCUCUCAGUAAGUUUACCGCGCGGUUGCUCAAGCACGUACGGUGAAAUUGACUCGCCAGUCGUCGCCAAUAAGACUCCACCGAGUAGCUGCCAAGAUUCCUGAAAUUUAGGGAGAGAUUUAAACAAAGCCUACAAAAUU